rnacentral:lncRNA from 1 species
ACUCUCUAUAAUAAACUCUUUCUAUCAGUGUUAAAAAUUCUACGGAUAUAAAAUUUGCCCUUAUUUAAAUCCCCGCGAUACAAUAAAAUUAUGGUUCCUUUUAUAACAAACAUGACUUUUUUUGUAACCAUGGAGAUUCAAAAAGCUUUCUUAGUGCAAAUAUUAAUCCUACGAAACUUUGUAUAUAGGUACACAACUAAUCCACUAAGUAGCACGGCUGCGUGGCCAAAUUUCAAGCCAUCGCUAUGACUUUUUGUUUUUUGUUUUUUUUUGUAACAAUGUUAAAUCUUUAUUACCAUUUUCAAGUUUUAGAUAGAACUACAAGGGAUACAAGGAACAGAAGAUGCAAGAAAUUAAGCUAAACAACAACUCAAUCUAAGCAAAACAAGGCUAACUACAACUACAAGCAAAGCAACAACAAGACCAUAUACUACACCAAAGUCAUCACAAACUCUUCCCACAAAAUUGGAACCACAGUUAAAACGAGAACUGAACCCGGUAGAUUUGGCAGUACCCGCUGAUCAGUUCUUAAUGAUUAGCUCCUCAAGAACAGCUCGAGAGAGACCUCCUUGUCGGCAGCAACCAUAGACAGUGGGCAACGCUGAGCAAGCUCACCCGCGUAGACAGAGACGAGCUUUACUUGGAAAGAAAGAGCACCCGAGAUCACCACACGCCAUGGACCUUCACCAAGAGACAGAGAAAGCCAGCACCACUUCAGAGAAGUGGACAUGAGACAGCUCUAGAUCAUACCCCUGAAAGCUAACUGGCUCAGCACGAGCGCCACCGAGACAGAGAGUUACGGUUGACAAGACCAUCAACAAACCGCCUCUCUCGCACUCACCACGGAGAACCCGCAGCAGAACCUCCUAGCUUGGGACAGUAUCUCUGGGGCCCGUCCGAGAGCUUGACUGACCGGCCUUAAAACACAAGCCGUCGGGAUCUAAGAAAAACAAGCGGAAGAACACCGAACCUCCACCGUCAGACAAGACCCAACACCGGUGCAAGCCAAGCGAGCUAGCUCACCCACCACGAGAAGGAGGAGCAAGGCAGCGAGAAAUGGGAACAAACCACUUCGAACGGUCAGAUCUGACACCAAAUCCAGACUGCCGCUGCCGUACUCAACCAAAGAAACCUCUCACCAACACCGCCUCCAUGCUUCACUGAAACUCCGAGCAAAAACCGCCAGAUCUGAAACCGCGGUGGCGAAGAAGCUUAGAGCUGCGAGAAAAGAAGCACAAAGGAAAAGAAUUGAAGAGAAGCAAAGAAGGAGAAAAACAAAAGGGAGGGGGGGGCAGCCGGAAGCGGAGAGGAAGCCGCCGGCCACCCAAAACACAGAUCUAGAUCUAGGGUUUUUUUGGGUUCUUAGAGAUGGAAGAGAGGAAAAAGGAGGUAGAGAGAGAAAGCUCUUCUCGCCCUAAAGUUGUCGUCGCGUGUGAAAAUGUAUUCACUUUUUGUUUUUGUUUUGCAAGCUAUGGCUUUUUUAUAUCAAUCUGAAAAUUUCAUAUGGUUUUAAAGCAACAUCUAUUCAGAAAUUGAAUAGGGCAACUUUUUAUAUUAUGGACUAACAAUUUUGAAACAUGUUCAACUUGGCUCUCAGACGUCUUCAAUGAUUUUAAAUGAACAAUUUUUAUUACCAAAAGCAAAUUUUAUUAUUAUUCCACAUAUUAUCCAAAAUUUUACUCAAUAUUUCAGGAAGUGUAUUUUUUUUAUAAUCGUGGGGAUUUCAAAAGUUUUCUAGGCUCAAAGACUAAUAUCACGAAGCCUUGCAUCCGGUAUGUAACUAGUCCAUCUAAAUGGUACAGCUAGGUGGCCAAGGCAAACUAAACAGAUAAAAAUAUCUUUUUGGUUUUUCAAAAAUUUGAUUAAUGAUUUUUUGGUCUGAUAUUUUUAAAAAUUUAACAUAGAAGUUAAUUUCUUGUUCUUAAAACAAAAUAAAAUUUAUUAAAAGAAUAUAUCACAGAAUUUCAUAAAUGGUAGCAAUAGUAAGCAUAUUAUUCUUAUUAAUCCUUAUUUGUUUAUAGUAGUAAUUAUCAUUUUUUGUUUUUUAAUAUUAAUACAUAAAUAUAAUAAAAACAAUUUAAAAAAAAUUGGAAACCCACCGUAAGUGAAGUAGAAACCAUGAAAACUUUUAUUUUGGUUUUUAUGUUGAAAAACAGUUAUUUGCAAAAACUAGUUUCCCUACAUUUUACGGAAUCUAUUUUUUUUCAAAAUCAUAAUUGGAUGUAAAAUGUUUUUUGGAGAAACUAAAACCAAAAACCAAUCCAGAUUGAAACAAAUUGUUAUUUCCUGAAUCAUUUUGUAACAAAAUGAAAAUUUAGAUAUUGAUUGUUUGUAAUUUUUGGAUUAGUUUUUGGUUUUUGUUUUUUUUUUAAAUCCAUUUUUCAACCAAUCAAGAUUUCCAAAAAAAUGGAUUUCCUAAAAUGUAGGGAAACUAUUUUUUUCAAAUAACUGUUUUCUUAACACAGCAACCCAAAAAACAAUUCAUAGGUUUUUCACUAUUUACUAUGGGUUUUCAGUUUUUUUUUUUCUUUUUUUUGCCAUAUUUAUCCAUUAAUAUUGAAAAAAUAAUAAAAUGCUAAUCACUAUAUAAAUAAGAUUUUGUAAGAUUCGAAUCUGUGUUUUAUUGUGACAGUGCUUUUACUAUUCUUAGGUUUUUCACUAUUUACUAUGGGUUUUCAGUUUUUUUUUUAUUUCUUUUCUAUAUUUACCCAUUAAUAUAGGAAAAAUAAAUACAAAUGCUAAUCACUAUAUACUUUGUAUAAAAGAACAUUUUUUUAAAAAAAACUUUUCAAUAAAAUAAAAAGAAUUAUUAAAACUAGUUUUAUGUAAAGUUAAGUCAAGUUCUUAAAAAUAAUAAACAGCUUCUAAAAUUAAAUAAGUUACUAAUGAAAACUGUAGAGAAAAAAGAAAAAUAUACAGAAAAUUCAAAAUUAAAAAAUAAGCAAAAACAAAAAUCAAAAACCAAAAACAAAUAUCUAAAAUCACCAUUCAUGUUUUUGAAAAAAAACUAAAUGCUACUACAAAAUCUAAAACCAAACACUAAAAACUAAAAUCCAAAAACCAGAAACUAAAAGCAAAAAACCGAAAAUGAAAAUCUAAAAUCUAAGUAAACAAUCAUCACCUUAUACUUUUGACUCCAUUAAUUUUGUCUCAGUAUGCUUUUAUUUUUGUAAAUACUAAAUUAACUCUCUAAUUUAUAAUUUAAUACAAAAUUAACUUUCUAAUCUAAUUUAUAAACUACAUUGGUUAAUUAAGAAUCAAUAUUUAAAUAGGUAUAUGGUUAUCUACUUAGUUUAUUAAUCAAAUAAUUCAAAAUAUUUAUUCUUUUUCUCACGAUUAACAUUGUGUUCUUCACUAAAAGAAAAAUCUUCCUCUCAGCCUUGGCGAUUCCGGUGAUCGGUUACGGCUUCAUUUUUCCUUAUCAACAAUGAGCCUCCAUUCAUUAUUCACACUUCGUCUCUAAGCAUCACAUGUUAUAUAGCUAUGAAACAUUUGAUUUGAUGAAAAAGAGAUAUGGAAGAAGAAGAAGAAGAAAGAAAUAAGAUAGUUGAAUAAAGAAAGGUUGAAUUCAACAUGAUUCAAUGUAACUAAACGUCAAGAAUAAGAUAUGUUUGAAUAAAAUUACUUAUGAUUGCUUUCUAUAUUUUCUUAUAUUUAAAAACAUAGAAUAUCUAUACUAUUAUUUGUGAAUUUUAUGGUAAUUUCACUUAUUUUCAUGUUCUCAAUAAUGUUAGUUAGUAUAUAGUUUUGCUUAUUUUCAUAUUUUUAAUUAACUCAUUAUUUUGAUUAAUCUAUAAAAUAAUUGAGAUUGAAAUUUGUGUUAUUGAGUUACAUAAGUUUAAUAUUUACUUGUUCGUACAUGUUUUCCCUUUCUUCAUGUGACAGCUCAUGAAUUAACUGAAGAGAUGGAAAAAUAUAACAAUUAAAUUCUUGUGUUUAUUUAUGUAGAUAUAUAUUAAUAAUUAAUAAUAAUAUUAUAUUUAAAGAUGAUCAGUAUGUUUCUCUGAAUAAUCCAAAGCGCAAAACAUAGUUUUCCAAAAUCGGUGUUACUUCCGUUAUACUAAAGAGUAGAGAGACCAUCUUAUAUUCAGUUAUAGUUCUAUAUAUACGAGUAAUUAGUUCAAAAUUAUAUUAUUUGUAUACUUAUAUUUGAUUAAGUUUAAACCUUAAAUAGAGAUAUAUCUAAAGUAGACAUAUUAUAAUUUACCUUGGAAAUUUUAUUUUUUAUAAAAAGUAUAUUUAUUUUAUUUAGGAAUCAAGGAGUGUAUUUUCUGUAUUGGCGUAAAUGUCACAUGUUACGAAAUGUUGGAUUGUUUUUCCAAAAGAAUAAGAGAAACGAAAUUGAAAAUCUUGAUAUCUGAUGAAUAAAUAAACAAAAAGAAAAAAUAAUGAAUAUAGUGAGUGUAUAAAGAUUUUUUUCAAAAAAAAUAUCUUCCGUUUGUUUUUCUAUUUUUCAAGUGCAAUAAAAAUCAUAUAUAUAUAUAUAUAUAUAUAUUGAUAAACAACUUUGUCAUAUAUAAAUAAUUUGAUUUUCAGUUUAAUUCUGAAAAAAUAAAUAAUAAUUUAUUAUGUUUAUUUUUUAAUUAAUAUUUAUGUAUUAAUAAAUAUUCUUAAGAUAAUGAUGCCCACAUGUGCGGGCAAAACACCAAGUGUGAAAGGAUAGAAUACAUAUUCUAAAAAGAUAGAAAAUAGACAAAAUCUAAGAAUGCAUAUUUUUAAAAUGAUAGAAUAUGGUGAAAAGAAUAUAGUUUAAAUUCUACCACCGGGUGUGUAUUUAACAUAAUCAUUUUUUCAUUCAAAACAAGAAUAUAGAGAAAAUAUUAGAAUUUAAAUCCUACCAUAGUUAGAACAUAGCAUAAAAGUGAGAACUCAUUUUUUAUCUACGAUAUAUAAUAUAGUAAAUAACGUUUUUUAGAUUUUUCUGCAAUAAAAUAAAAAAACCUACAAUCAGGGGCGGAUCCACGUAAACAUAUAUGGGUUCACCUCACACCUGUAAUAUGAAAUUUUAAAGUUUUGUAAGCCCAAGUUAUUAGUGUACUUUAGCAAAAUUGUUAAGAUACAUAAUCUGACCCCUAGCCCGGAUUUAAGUGUCACCCUAUUUGCUAUAUUUCUUUUAAAUUUCUUCCUUUUUACCGAAAUUUGAAACAUUUUUUUAACAAAGUCGAAAUAUGCUAUCUUUCAUCACACCCUUAAUUAAAUAUACUUUGACCCCCGAAAAUUAUUUUCUGGGUUUGCCACUGCCUACAAUAUGUAUUGUAUUUUAUAAAAAAACAAAGACAUUUGGUUAGAAAUCAUGCAGAUGUAUUCUAUAUUUGGAUAGAUCAUAGAGAAGACUUUACAAUACGAAAUAUAACUUAUAUAAAACAUAUAAGAUAACUUAGAGCAUCUUUAUCGGGCGUAUGUAGGGGGUUUCCUAUGUUUAAAAGAAAAUCAAAAAUACAAAUAAAUGGAAAACACGUCUCUUAUUUUGGCUUAACAAGAGACGUUUUUAGGGAACACGUGUAGGCAAAAUGAGAGGAGAGAGGGGGAGCGUAUUCUCGUUUCGUUAUUUCUCUCUCAAAACGUCUCCAUUUUCGUAUCGGAGGAGAUCAGAGAAGACGAUUGGCGAGUCAACACUCCUCGAAAGCGGAAGCUGAGAUCCGAUUCCGCCGCGGAGGUUGCAGUAACCGAGGUCUCGACGCCGAUGAAAUGGAAAUCUCAUCGACGAUGUGCUGUUUCAAGCCCAAGGACGCCUAUAACGGUAAUUCCUAGCGAUUAAGACUUGUUUAGUUACGAAUGGAAUCAAUCCGAUUGAAGUUCUUAUUGGAUGUAUCAUCAUCAUUAGAUCAAAUUAUUUCUGGAAUUUUAUAAUUUGAUUUAUUACUGAUUAUACGAUUGCAGGAGGUUGAGAAAGAAUCUAAUGGAAAGCUAUUUGAUUGUUUAGAUGUUAAAUCGAAGUGGAAUCCUAGAGGUAUACAUCAAACUUCAGUGUCGUAUUGAUUUCAAUGCUCUCAGUUUUGUUGAUGUACAAGUGUAAUGCACAAAUGAUGAUCAAAUGAAAGCUGUGAAGGAGGCAUUGCACGUUUCCAAGGCACCAUCAACUGUUGUUUGCCGUGAGGACGAGCAAAGACGUGUUUUAGAGUUUGUAAAAGCUUGCACAGAACAGAAGAAGGCUGGGAGUUUGUACAUAUGUGGCUGCCCUGGAACUGGGAAUUCAUUGCCGAUGGAGAAAGUUAGACAACAGGCUGAAGACUGGGCAAAGCAGGUGAUCAAUCUUGUCUCUUUAUCUUAUGGACUUGUGAAUCUAUAUAUCAACAUAAAAGACUGAUGUUCGUUUAUGAGUUAUUUUAGGAAGGCUUGCCUUGCUUGGAAACAGUGUAUGUUAAUUGCACGUCAUUGACCAAAACAAUAGAUAUAUUCUCCAAGGUAAGACCUUAUGCAAUUGAUUUACAUCCAAGUUCUUGGUUUCAUAUCGGUAUAGUUGUUUAUUGGGUUGUUUUGGAUUCAGAUACUUGGUGAAAACGAGACAGGGAAGAAAGCUGUUGCCUCCUCUUCACCUCUACAACAACUUCAGAUUAUGUUUUCUCAAAAGCAACAAUCACCUAGCUUAAAGAUGAUGUAGGUUCUUUUUCAUUCCUGUGGUUGCUGCGAUCUGAUCACUUGCUCAGAUUGUUGUUUUUGCUGUUCUAUAAUUUUUUUUUUAAGAACCCAUAGUUAAGAAACUUGCAAUAAAGCACCUAAAUGUUCAAAUCUCUUUCUAAGUCUCUUAACUCACUUUUACAAUUGAAAAACUAUUAAAAAUUAACUAAGAGACCCUUAAGGGGUUUAGGGAUAAUGAUGCUCUUAGAAUAUCUAUUGGCCGGUUCGCCUAACUUUCACUCUCCUUUGUGCUCUCCCUUCUCUCUAGCCAUCGCCUUCACCGAUCUUAGUCUAACCGACCGGCGGAGUGGGCUACUAUAGCCACCGUCGGUCGGAUUCUUCCUCUUUUCUCUUGUAUCGUAUAUGUGUGUUGUUCUUUAGGUUGUGGAUAAGAAUCAUGUGGUGAGAUGUCUAAAUCUAGUCUCCAAACAAACAAACACAAAAGGAAAUUGUCUCGGCUUAAAAUCUGUUGUGGUUCAUCCCUUUCCGGUUUGUUUCCUUACCCUAAGGUCUCGAUUGGGUAUUGGGUCACGACUAUGUGUGCGUCAAGAUCCUUGGUUCUCGUUACUGGGUCGUCCUCUCGUAUUUAGUUGUUUGAUUGUCCUUGCUGCUCGUGUGAGUUAUGUCGUGGUUGGAGGGUGUGCUGUCCCUUGUCUCCGAUUGCUUCAGAAUAGUUCCUGGUUUGUUUCUCUGUCGGUCUUUGCGUUAUCCGGCUCAGAUUCAAGGGCAGACAGGGGCCUCGCCCCUUUUGCAUCUUGCCAAAGGAGUUUGAUUGUUAAAUUGUGUUCUUCAUAUCCUUGGGUUGCUGGUCUGUGUUCUUCUUCAUGGCUCGUUGGUGUGGUCUCCCUAGCACUAUAAUGAGUUGUGACGGCCCCUAAUAAAGUUUGGCUUAUGAUGUGUGCUUAUCCACUCCCUCCUCCUUCAAUGAUUCUUAUCACUUGGAUAAGUUAUUGUUUGAUCUAGGUGUACUCUCUGCUGGAUCCUUAAUCCGUGUUUGUAAUGUCGUUUGUCUUUGGCUCCUGACAAUCUUGUAAUGCUGCUGGCUUUUGUCUUCGGAGGAGGUUUGUCUCAUGCCGACUUAGUGUUUUAUGAUUUGUAUUCCACCAUGUAUAACUCCCUGGUUCUUAAUCAAUGAAUCGUUUAAUGUAAAAAAAAUUAAAAUGUCUAUUUUAUCCUUGUUAAAAAGAUAUAAUAUACAUUCUAACAAAUUUUGAUCAACAUAUCUAAAUUGUUUUUGGAUUUCAAUUUUUUAUAUCAAAAUCUAAAAUAUUAUCAUGAUGGUAUUAUCAUUUUGAUAUACGUUUAUAUAUAUAUAAUUUUAAUUAUUUUUAUUAUUAGAAGAACAUUUAUGUUCAAAACUAAUUAAUUAAUCAAAGGUAUGAAGGGACAAAAUUAUUUUUAUUAUGGCUUAUUUUGCAAGUUUCCCUUUUUAUUCUCAUUGGGUUCAAGGUUUCUUACCUUUUAAUUCAUCAACUAUUUCUCAUUGCUAUCUUUCAGAGGAUGUACUGUAGACGACUUUGUGUGUAUUCUUACUCCGACAGUCUCUUCGCAUCUCACUGCAACGUUAGGAGAGCCAUGCAUCUUCAGAGACAGUUUUUAACUGCUCUCAAAAUCCAUUAGUUGGGUUCCUCAACGUUUAUUUUAACUUAUGUGUGUUUUUUCGAACAUGAACUUUAGGAUUACAAGUGAAGAUUUUUUAUGAGUUUUUUUUUAUCCUUAGCCAAAUCUAUAUUUCGUUAUGUUAGUUUAUCAGCUUACCGUCGACUAUUUCUCCGGUUGUAAUCAACUUAACUUAUCAAGCAUCUAAUUUUAAUAUAAACAUUUGUUGUUGUUAAAAAGUAUGUAAAUAUCGGAGGUGAUUGGUUGGGCUUUAUCUCCUCACUUUAGCUUUAUUUACUUUUAAAUCACUAAACUUUACCAAUCAUGUUGUAGCUUUAUUUUUAAUAGUUAAAACCUAAAUGAAGUUUCUAUAAACUUUUACCAAUCAUGCUUUAGCUUGAUUUUUAAAGUUACAGCAAAAAAACUAAAGCAAAAUUUUUUUUAGUGUAUUUUAGGUAAAAAACGUAAAGCUUUCUUUUAUAGGCUUUAGAAUAUGUGAAAUAAAAAAAAACUAUCUAUAAUAUCAAAUAAAUUAGAUAAUCAUAAUUAAAAACAUCUAUAAAUAUUUAAUUCAAUUUUGGCUGUUGUAAAAAUUAUUGAAAUAUUUUAAAUAAAAUAUAUAUUAUUUACAUAUCACAUUUUAAAUAACAAUAAACUUUGAGAAUUUAUAAAAAAUAUUAAUAUAAAUUAUUUCAUUGAUAAAAAUAAUUAUUUUAUAUAUACAUCACAGAUUUCACAUAUUUUAUUUUAAAAUAUCUACAGCCUAUAAUUUACAGCUAUAACAAAUUUAAUUACAACAAAAGUUUCUUCAACAAAAUUUACAGUAACAACUUUACAGGUACAACCAAUUUACUUACAGCUAAACUUUUACGGCUAAACUUUUAGAACCACAGUUGAACCAAUCAUCACCAUUAUUUUAAUAACGACUUAAAAACGGAGAAAACAUAAAAUGGAUUAUGUUCUGUUUUACACCGAAUAUAUAUGAAUUUCAACUAUAUUAAAACCGUUUUAGUAACAGGGGAAAUAAUAAGCCAUAUCUUGCGUUAUAAGAUUCACGUAGGCCUGAGCAUUUUAACCUGGACCCAAAAACCCGAACCAGAACCGACCCAAAAAUCCGGAUCCGGACCGAGAAUUUACAAGUACCUUUUGGGUCUAAAAUUGUUUUAUCCGAAUAGACCCGGAACCGACCCGAAUAGACUCGGACCCGAAAAGAACCGAUCCGAAUAGACUCGACCCGGUAAGAACCGAUUUGUACCCGACUUAAAAACAUGUAUAUCUAAAACUAUGAUAUUUUUGUGUUCUAUUUUAUACAUAUUAUUUUAUGAUUUAGUUGAAAUAUCUUUACUCGCCACCGCUUAAACUGUGGAAUGUUUUUAUUAAUUGGCUUUAUUUUCUUUUUUAACCUCUUCAGUGUUGUUGCUCAUCAUCCUCGUCCAUCUGCCUCUUCAUACUCUGCAAAACCCAUCGCCAAUAAUUUUAAACUCUUGAAUGUUAUUGAGUUACCGGAGGAGGCGGCGAAAUGAACCGUCACGUUGAUAUCGCCUCCAACCAAGGCGAAGUCAGUAGCAUCCAGAAACUCACGGUAUGCUCCUUCUUUUCCUUCUCGUUUCCAAAGUUUCAGUCUUCACAUAUUUUUUCAUUAUAGUGGUUAUUCUCUGUAUUUGGGCAAUAUCACGGUAUGAACAAAAAGCCCACUAAACUGUAAACAAUUAUGAAACGCAGCAGCCCACAUCAAAAGUUAAUGAAACGAUGAGUUUAAGGCAAAGAUGACAUGUGUCGCACUCACAAUCAACGACUUUAUGACGUGGCGUCAUGUGAGAGAAGCAAACAUUUUUUUAUAUAUAUAGAUUCCUAUAGAUAAAGUAAAUUUUCUUAAUAUAAUUAGUAACUUGAGAUAAUAUAGUUUGUAAUUAAAAUAUUUAGUUAUCUUAUAAAUUUUAGCAUUUAAAGGUUAAAGCUCAUGUUUCAUGUGUUUUAGACUUUCAGUUAAUGACAAACAUAAAUGAGAAUUUCUAAUUCGAGCAAGUCUAAAUCGCAAGUGCAUUGUAUCCAUAAGAGUGGAAUUUUACUGAGAAGGAUGGGCGACAUCCGACAUUAUCUGCAGUUAUGCACCAGUGUGCUUGAUUUGCUUAGGCCACCUGACCACCCAUCAGUUAAUAUUUUGUGUGUUACCAAUGAGCUAGAUUCUCUGCACCCGCCUAUCAAACUGUUUGGACUUUGUUUGAUCUGGUUUAAACACCUGCAGAGAAGACCUAUAUUAACCCAAUUAACACACGUUUCACCUUGCAUGAUUUGUCAGAAAUAAAUUACCUAAGGUAAAGGACAUAUCCACUAACUAAUUUUAUGGAUCCUGAUCUGGAUUUAUUACUAGAGCAUGUCUACUAGGCCCAGAGUCUCAUUAGGCCAAUUUCUUCAUAAGGCCCAUUAUCUGUGGAAAAUAAAGAAACUUAAAUUAGGAUGAAGUCAAAGAAAUACUAAUAAACGCUUUGUUAAAUAUCAAUUCACUAAUCCAUUUUGUCAAUAAUAUAAACAGUGUAUAAUAGACCAUAUCUAACAAUACUAAAAGGCUAAUAUACUCAAUGGAGAGGCAUGUCACGUCCUCAAAAUAAAUCAACAAAUCAGGGAUAAGUGUUUUAAGACGUCAUUACUACUUCCUUCUAAUGGUCUUCCUUUGGGCUGUCUAUACAUUUUAAAAUAUCCCAGUUCAAGCUCAUUUUCGUAUAAUCCUAAUUUCUUCUGAAGCGUAGAACUGAUCUUUUAUCGAGUCUUCCCCUUCAUCUUCACCGGUUGUCUGUAGCUCUGUUUCCUCUUGGUCCUCGAUCAAUUAAUGAAGCUAUUUAAUCUUUUCUUUAUUGUUUCGUUUUUCCUCCCUCUGUUUCUUCUUAUAGCUAAUAUACUCAAUGGAGAGGCAUGCCAUGUCCUCAAAAUAAAUCAACCAAUCAGGGAUAAGUGUUUUAACACGUCAUUACUACUUCCGUCUAAUGGUCUUCCUUUGGGCUGUCUAUACAUUUUAAAAUAUCCCAGUUUAAGCUCAUUUUCGUAUAAACCUAAUUUCUUCUAAAGCGUAGAACUGAUCUUUUAUCGAGUCUUCCCCUUCAUCUUCACCGGUUGUCUGUAGCUCUGUUUCCUCUUGGUCCUCGAUCAAUUAAUGAAGCUAUUUAAUCUUUUCUUUAUUGUUUCGUUUUACCUCCCUCUGUUUCUUCUUAUAGCUAAUAUACUCAAUGGAGAGGCAUGCUACGUCCUCAAAAUAAAUCAACCAAUCAGGGAUAAGUGUUUUAACACGUCAUUACUACUUCCGUCUAAUGGUCUUCCUUUGGGCUGUCUAUACAUUUUAAAAUAUCCCAGUUUAAGCUCAUUUUCGUAUAAACCUAAUUUCUUCUAAAGCGUAGAACUGAUCUUUUAUCGAGUCUUCCCCUUCAUCUUCACCGGUUGUCUGUAGCUCCGUUUCCUCUUGGUCCUCGAUCAAUUAAUGAAGCUAUUUAAUCUUUUCUUUAUUGUUUCGUUUUACCUCCCUCUGUUUCUUCUUAUAGCUAAUAUACUCAAUGGAGAGGCAUGCCAUGUCCUCAAAAUAAAUCAACCAAUCAGGGAUAAGUGUUUUAACACGUCAUUACUACUUCCGUCUAAUGGUCUUCCUUUGGGCUGUCUAUACAUUUUAAAAUAUCCCAGUUCAAGCUCAUUUUCGUAUAAACCUUAAUUUCUUCUGAAGCGUAGAACUGAUCUUUUAUCGACUCUUCCCCUUCAUCUUCACCGGUUGUCUGUAGCUCCGUUUCCUCUUGGUCCUCGAUCAAUUAAUGAAGCUAUUUAAUCUUUUCUUUAUUGUUUCGUUUUACCUCUCUCUGUUUCUUCUUAUAUAUAAAUUGCUGCCAUAUCUUCGUCUCUUCUCCUCCACUCAACAAAGCCAUCAAUCAAAACUCAGCGCAUCCAUGGCUAACAACAAUGGGAAAAUCAUUUGCUCCAGCUAAUGGUAAAUCGCAAAAAUCCCUCACCUUUUUAAUCCCAAAUUUAAGCAUUUUAACUAUGCUGAGAUGACAUCGUCGUGGCUGAUCUGGUUCAUUGUUACUUUGUUGUUUCUGCUUCGUUUAUGCCAUGCGGUUUUUGGCGCAAUUUGAAACGCGCUCCUACAAAGAUAUCAUGUUUUCGUAAUAUCCGUGUUUCAUCAAUCGUUAGUUUGAUUUUAACUCUAUGUGAUUACUCCUACAGUCUUUCCAGAUAUAUUGAUUCAGAUGAUAACCAGAGAAGAGCUAAACGUCUAUUGUGAUAAAGGUGAUUUGCUUGGUCAUUUUAUCAAUAUACAUUUUAGAAUACAUAUAUAAUUUCAUCUCCCCAGCACUAAUAAAGCCAUACUUUGUUCUUGGGCAGCGCAUGUCAAGUUCUUAUUUGUCUAAAACGAACUUAUCCACUUAAUUUUGAAGCAAAAUUAUUAUGAAAAUUUGAGGGUUCAAGUUAAAGUAAGAAGCAUGGGACGACACUGCUUUGUGGAUAUCAAUAGCCUCAACUUUCUAUUCAUGUACCAAGUAUUUACAAGGUAAACUAUUUUAACAUCUCAAAUUCGAAUCAAUUUUUACAUUUGAGUAUAACAAUUAUUUAAGCAUUGGGAGUCAGCUCUUGAAAGAGUCACAGAUGUUCAUGUUCCAUUCAGUUGAAGUUUUUGAAGCUCACUGCAACAUGAGUGGUGAUUUAUACGGUAACUCCAACAUUCCAUUAGUUAAGUAAGAUUUUCCACAGUCAUUUUCUUUUGCCAGCCUAUUUAGAGGUCACUCAUAUUAGUUUAUUUUCAAAUUUGAAGAUGUGGUAGACCAUAUGAAGCUGAUCGAUGGGCAAUAACACCAAGAAGGCAGAGUUGACAUCACAGCCCGAACGAGCAAAAGACCGUGCAUCCUCCUACUGGAAACCAUCUUCCCAUGCCCCGUGAUUGAUUUACCCAAUUUAUAAACAUGAAAUGCAAAGGAUCGCUCCUGAAUGUUUACCUCUGCGAUACCGUUGGGGCAGAUUUCCGCGGCAAGUUCAACGCUAGCCUAUCUACCCCUGUCAUCGUCUUGAUCACAACAGUAACACAAAAUGAGUUUGUGGCUACACAUAUACAAUUACGUAAGUCACAAUAUAGCAUUUACGUCAUUCGUUAUUAGUUUGUCUUCAAUAUCAAUAAAUUUUUAGCUGCCCGUUUUGUUAUAAUCUAAGCUUACGUAUCCUUGGUUUACUUUUGUAUUAAUACUAUCUCCACAUGUAUGUUAACGUUCAGCUCUAUGUCGUCUCUAACUUUAUUCCCAGAUACAGAGUGGAAAUAUUUGUAUAUGGUAAUGGGGACAACGCAUCUUUUGUGCUUCUUGGAGACUCCGGUGCGGAGUCUAUUGGGCGAGAAGUUUCUGAGCUGAUGGACAACUAUGGGGAGGUAAUUAAAUUUCUUAAAAACUACACAACUCUCGGGACACGACAACUCUCUCACUUUGUGUUGAAAACUUUCAGGCUAAUGGGGGUAAUGGUAAGUCAUCCAACCCAGCGAUAAGUUGUGAUGAAGAAAACAAGGCCAACCACCCCCACACCAGCACUUAAAAGGGUCCCUCACUGAACAUUGGCACUUGAGGGCCCAUGCACAUCCGCAUCACUACAUUACAACUGUGUUUCGUUUUACGCUGCGUAGAGUUUACCUCUUUUUUUUACAGAAGUUCAGUAUGCAUCUGUUCAACAGGCCGCUGUUCAACUUGCAAUCUACAAAUCUUUAAACACUUCACUUUAUAAACAAAUUGGAAAAGAUAUAUAAGUAAAUGUGGGAUUUGUAAUAGGAUCGAAACAAAGGAGACACCACAAUCUAAAAAACAUUCCUUCCCAACAGAGAGAAAAAGAUUUUUAAAAACAUUUACUUAUAUAUGUUUUUUUAAUUACUUAUAUAUCUCAAAGAGAGAAAAUUUACUUAUAUAUAUUUUUAAAAAACACUUACUUAUAUAUCUUAGAGAGAGAAAAUAUUUUAAAAAUAUUUACUUAUAUAUCUUUUUUUUAACACAGAGAAAAAGAUUUUUAAAAACAGAGACAAAAACAUUUACAUAUAUAUCUAUGAAUCAGUUUUGAUAAAUCCAUAAAUAUUAUUAAAAAUAAUACAAUUGAAAAAAAAUCAGAAGCCAAAACAAAUACUACACGACCGACCCGACCCUACAUGAUAACUAAAUGCACAUCAUUAUCAACAUCUUAAAAAUAUAAAACAUAAAUCGAACUAGAGAUAUAUUCCUCUCAUUCGCUAUGUUUGUUGCACUAUUCUUCUUUUGUAGUCAAAUAUAAUACAUAUUGUUUAUAAAAAAUGCCUACAUGCAGUAACAUUACAAUCUCAAUAUUAACUUAUUAAGUUAAUUUUACUGAAAAGAGAUAAAUAAAAAAAAGAAAACAAUACAAUAUAGAACAAAACAUACUAAAAACAUACACAAUUUUUUUUUUAAUAUAUAUGUGUAAAAGUUUCUACAGCUUAAGCCUAUUUCAAUAUUAGCCAUGUUCGUUUCAUCACCGGUGCGUCCAGCGGCAGCGUCCGAUAAUUAAGCCCUUCAUCACGGCAACAUACAACGCCGGUGAAGCAUCACAUAAUUGUUUUCCAGUCGAUGUGGCAGUUAACAACAAACGAAAGGGAGAUGGAAAGUUUCAGCAUUCAUAAAUAUAAUUUCUUUAGCAUUCAAUCGGCGUUGUUUUAACUUUCAAUUCCGUUUUUUUCUCCAUUGCUGUAUUUUUUCUCCAUUAACGCUGCAGCUGGAACCAGCGGUGAUGAAACGAACAUGGCUAUUCUUAGAAUGUAUUUCAGAUGAUAAUUUUUCAGAUAACAAGGUAAAAUGUUUAACUACCUAAAUGAAAAACAUUGUCUUAAAUCUAUUUAACUUUUUAAAGAAUCAUAUUUAUGAAUAAAGAAAAUAAACUAAAAAUAUCUCAAACUUAUUUUGAUGUCUACUCUAAAUGAUUUUAAAUUUUUUUAUCAAAAUAAAUUAACAUAAAUUAUGUCCAAAAGAUUUCCAAAACACAUUUUUUUUUGUAUUUACUAAAGAAACUAAAUAGAUAAUGGAACUUUGUGGCUUGUGGUGUAUACCACUGAAACAAAUCAUCAUGUACAUUAGUAUUAAACUAAAUAAAGUUAAAAUAUGUUUAUGGUUUUUGAUCAUGCUCAGUAAAUCACAAUACAACUAAAUUUUCUUUUUCACCGUUACCUCCGGUCUAUCAUAUAUUCACCAUAGAUUUUUCCAUCAUUUACUUAUAAUGGUAUACCAAAUUAGUUUGUUUAAAUAUAAAUUUAGGUUAGAGCAUCACCAAUCCAUGCAUUUUAGAAGGCAUUACAAUUUUUUAGAACAUUUCUAAUUUUUUUCUCGCUAUUAAAACACCAACUUAAGCUGUUUAAUAGUUAAUUUAAUAGAAUAAAAUAAUAAUGGAAGUAUGUUUCUACUCUAACAUACAAAAAAUAUGAUAAGGUUAUAUAUUUUCUACACGAUACCAGUAAAAUAAUUGCAUUUGGAUAGUGCACAUAAUCUAUCCAAAGUACUUUUAUUUAUAUCUAAACAUGAAAUCAUUAAUUUUACAUUUAUACAAUUAAUACUUAUUUACAUAAUAAUAAAUACCAAAAAAUAUUAUUGAAAAUAUAUUAUUGUUUCAAAAUUUCAAAAAUUUAUUGAAUCACUUUAUUGGUAAUAAUUUAUAUAUUUAUAUAUUCAAAGUGAUACAUAUUUUAUGAACAUAUAUAUAUGAAAUUAAGGUUAUUUACCUAUUCUUCAAAUAAUAAUUUAAUAAUUGAAUCAGGUGAUAUAUAUAAACAAAUAUAUGAUAUAUAAAAUAACAGAUUUUUUUAAAAAAAAUAUUUAAUAUAGAAUAUUUAAACUUUUAAUAAAGAUUUAGACACGGUUACUAAUAGAUUAAUAGAGACUUAUCUAAAAUAUAUAUUAAAUAUAAACUAAUGAUAUUAAAACAAAAAAUUCUUCUGAAUUUAUCAAAUAUUAUAUCAAAACAAAUAAAUGAUAUAAUAUAACAUAAAAGUAAAAUUAAUUAUUUAUAAAUUGAUAUUUUAUGUUAUAUUUCACAUUAAAAAUUUAAAAUUUAUUGACAAAUAAACCGCGCAUAGCGCGGUCAAAUUACUUAAUAAUAGCGCGUCAAAGGACCACAAUGUAAAAUUUUUAAUACCAACGGAGACUUCUCUUCUUUUAUUGUUUUUUUUUUAAACAAAGACUUCUAUUGGCAGAGCAUUUAUGAUUUAUGCUCACGAACAAGAGCUAAUACGAAGCUUUCGUAAAUAUACUACUACGAACUAAUACUUCUUCCACGAAGAUAAAAAUAGAUUUUUUAAUAUUUUCACACAUAUUAAUAAAAUACAUUUAACUACUAUGUCUUUUUUUUUUUUGUAAUUUUCAAUUUUCAAUAAUUUUUAAAUAAUUCAGUAAAGCCAAUUAAUUUUUUCGAAGUUUACAACUUUUUUAUAGAAAACACAAAAAAUACAUCUUGUGAAACAAUUUUUUUUCUAAAAAGUAUAUAAUAAUGAAACAGAGGAAGUAUUGUUGUAUUGAUUUGAUUAGGAGACAUUAUUAUAAAAUGUUAAAAAUUAUUUAGGUAUAUUGGAAAUUAAUUAUAGGAAGAAAGAUGUAAAACUCGGCAGAAGGAUUACAAACUAACGGUUUCAGAUUCCGGUUUACAGUUCAGAUCAAAACUCGAUUUUCUUAACCCUACCGGAGUUACUCCAUCGAGUUCUCCAUCUCUAACGCCGUUACUAUGCAAUGAGUUUACCAAACCAAGGCUCUGACUCCGUUUCCUCUUCUUAGUCGGUAACCCUCGUUCAUCGACACCGACGUUAACUUUCGCACCCGUCCGUGUCGCCACGUGUACUCUACGUAGUAUCUUGAAAAACUCAUCCACCUCUUCCUCCGUUACCGUACGUACAAUUUUAGUUGACGAUAACCCUUUGUUUCCAUUACCGUUAUCUUCUUCGCGGCGUUCUUGUUUCUUCCCCGAGCUCAUGUUUACCACAAGAAACGAUACUUUUAGACGUGAAAGUCUUCAAUAAGCUUAUUUUCUUUUUGGGAGAAUUAUCAUGAUACUCUUCUUUAUAGGCCGUCGGUGUGAGACUUUGAACGGUCGAUAUCGUCGACCUCAAGAUGAAGAAAUGGACGAUAGGGAUCGAUGAUGACAUCAUCAUUGCGACGUUAAAGCAUUAGCUGCAUGACGUUGUCGUUUAAGUGGGGCUUUAUAGAAUAAAGGAAGUCAUGUGCAAUUUUUGGUAUCGAUUUAUUAUUUAUAAAUAGUCUAUAGUUUUUUUUUUGUUUAAGAAAGACCAAGAACGGUUGACAAAAAAAAAAAACCAAGAACGUUGAGACAACAUACAAAGGAAAAAAGGAAGCCCAAGACCUUAUGAAUUGUUAUCAUGUUAACGUGGAAAAAGUACUCCUGCUACUAUUUAUUUACGGGUGUUUUUCAAAACCAACCCAUAUUUUCAAGUCAAACACAAAACCAACCCUUUUUUUUUUGUCCAUACUAUUCAUCAAUAAAAUUUCCAUACUAUCCUUAUGUUUUUGAAUUAUUCACAAAAUUGCCAUUUUUAUUUAUUUUUUUAUUAAUUUCGAAAUUAACAAAAAACCAAAUACACCCUAACCAUUUCUUCUUAUUUACAAAAAUGCCAUCAUCAUCAAUUUUUCCAACCACCAUGAACCACCAUUUUUGAGCUCUAAAACUCUAGAAUUCAAUUUUCAACCACUUGUUUUCUCAUUCUAACCCAAAAAAACUUCAUUUCCUCUCAUCUCCUCUACAUUUCCAUCUAAAAAACUCUCAUAACUAUCAUUUUCAUAAUCACAAACUUCAUAUUUUCGAGUUUUUUCAUUAGUGAAUCGUUAAAGAUGCUUCUUUUUGCUCAUAUUUGGAGUUUGGACGGUUGAAAAGGUUGGAAACGAGCUUUACACAUGAAAAAAGUAACUAUUUACAUGGUUUUCGUUCCUUUUCAGAUCUGUGUGGCGACGGUAGACUGUUUUGUAUGUCUACGCCUCCGUGGAGACUUACGAUGCAGUCUAUUUGUCAACGCACGGGUUAGUUUUGCAAUUGACCAGACAAAAUUUUUUUCUAACGCAGACUUCCCCAUUAGUCUCCGUCUUUACAUUUGACAACAAAAAUAAAACUUUCGGUAGACUUACUAAGACGUCUACCUAAAAGAGGCUAGUUUUUCAUUUGACCGAACUUUUGACUUUUCAAAAUAGACUUCAACGGAAGUCUACAAAAUGUAGACUGCCAACGAAGUCUAUAAAAGGUCAGUUUUGCAUUUGACCAAAACUUUGACUUCGUGGAAUAGGUUAGUUUUGUGUUUGACCAAAAAGUUUAAAAAGCAAUCAAAAAUUUAUUAAAUUGUAGACUUCAUAUGCAGUCUUCUUAUCUUAAAAAAAAAAUUAGACUGCAUAUAAAGUCUACUUUUUAUUUUGGUCAAUUGCAAAACCAACCCGUCGGAUUUGAGAGUAGACUCCACAAGAAGUCUACACACCCUUAGACGUUCAUUUCAAUCUACUGAUUUGAAGUCAAACUUGGUCAAUUGCAAAACUAACCUCUUUCUAAAAAAUUCAAACAUGUAGACUGCAUAUGAAGUCUAGUUCUGAAAGUCAAAUCUUGGAUGAAUUCUGGUCAAUUCCAAAAAGUAACAUUUUUAAAUUGUAGUCUGAAAUGAAAGCCUACAUGUACAAAAUCACAACUUUUAUUCAACUAUAGAAAGCAACCCGUAAAAUGGUCAAUUGCAAAAACCAACCCAAAGAGUAGACCUAUUUGACAGUCUACGUCUGUAAACUGAAAAGAACAUCUACAUCUUCAGAGACUGAAUAUUAAGUCUGCAUAGAAAAAUCUAUACAAAUGUGAAUUUUUGUAUUAUUCAUUAAAUUUUUCUAGUUUUUUUGUUUGACAGUGUGUGUUAGUUAAUCCUAAUGGGUUUGAGUGAUUUUGAAAAGAAUUUUUUUUAUAAUUAUGAAGGUAUAAUUCAUUUGAUUUGACAAUGUUGUUAGCUAAUAAUUGUAGACGUAUUUGUAAGUCUUCGUUUAUAGUUUUGCUAGUAAGGCUGAGCUUGUUUCAAAGCUGAAGUCGGUGACUGUGAAAUAUAAAUUUACAUUCUCAGCAUAUAAGACAAGGAAAACUCUGUAUGUGGCUAAGUGUCGUGUUCAAGGAUGUGGUUGGAAACUUAGAGCAAGUGUGAAUCAUGGGCCAAAGACAUUUUGGGUGACAAAAUAUUCGAAAAGGAUGAAGAAUCGGAAAGGUUGAAGAAUUUUCUUUGUGCAUGAUGGCUGUACACAUGGUAAACUUCUUGAAAUGACACAAGAAGAUUAUGAUCUGGACAACAAAAUUGAGAAGAUGGUGCUAACCUAUUCCUUACCAAACAUCAUUUAAAACAAAUGACUCCGAAUAGGAAAAUAAUCCUCUUAUGCAUGUCACGAAAAAUCGACAAGUACGGAACUUGAUCGAGUUAUCUAAGACACACUUUGUACGCCUUUGUGUAUCAAGCAUGCGCCAAAUACACUAAAAAAAAUUUGAUUGACUAUAUGUUAGAUAAUAAGUGUAGACGUUUUUGUAAAUCUACAAAUGUAGACUGCAGUUGAAGUCUACGUCGUAAAUUCUAUUAAAAGUGUAUUUGUGUAUUAUUCAUCAUAUUUUUUCAUGAUUUAAUUAUUUUACAGUGUUGUUAGUAAAAUUUUAAUGGUCUUUGAUGAAUUUCACAAUUUAAUGUGUUAUAAUUAUACACUUGAUACUUAUUGCAAAUUGUUUUGAUUACUGUUAUUCUUGAAAAUUUUUGGGAAAAUUUUGUAUAGAUUUUCUUCUUCUCACAUGUGUGUUAGUUAUUAUUUUAGCUUAUGGUGGUUUUACUUGUUUGGUUGGUUAGAUCUUGUGAAAAAAUUGAUAUCUAACAAAAAAUUAAUAAUAUCAUACAAGUGAAAACAACUAAAAAUGAAUACAAUGUUUAUAGAUUAUGCAUUAAAAAAUUAUUUAAAAAUUAAUAUUUUAUUAUGAAAGUUAUUACAGAGCAAUAUAUUAAAAAGUAUUCUUGAGUAUGUUUGAUUUUUCAUAAUCUUGAUGCUUCAAAUAAAGUCUUGGAAAAAGUAUCUGCAAAAUAAGAUAGAGUUAUGAGAAAAACAUAAGAUAAAAAAUGAAAUCAUAUUUUUGUAUACUUUUUAUUAAGUCUACGUAAAGUUAUUGUUUAGUAGACUUUAGUUAAAGUCUACACUAAUGGAAAAUUUUCAUAUCUAAAAGUGUGCAUUUAGAAAAUUUGAAAAUAUUUUGUUCUGGAAAAUAUUUCAAAAAUGGUUUUUUGUCAUCCUUGUAACAAAGCAAAAACAUAAUGUAUGAAUCUAUAAAUUUAGUUCAUUAUAAACACAAAAUAUCUUAUAAUGAAUAUAUGGAAAGCUUACAUUUUUGGGAAGAUGAUUUGAAAACAUUGGAAGAGAAUACCUGCAAAAUAAAAUAAAAUUAUGAAAAAUAAGAUAAAAAUUAAAAUCAUAUUUGAGUAAACUUCUAAUGAAAUAUGCUUAAAAGUCAAGGCUAGUAGACUUCAUUUGAAGUCUACCAACCGUAAGUUUUAAGUAGAUUUCAAAUGAAGUCUACUCUAUCAAAAAAAAAUAGAUCUGAAAAAUAAAUACAUUAAAAAUAUGAAAUAAGUUUAAAUCUAAAAAACUUUUAAAAAUAUUAUUUAAUAGACAAAAUAGUUAUAAAUUAAGGACAUAUUAAUAUGAAUUUUAAUAUGUAACUUUAUUUGAAUAUAAAUACUAGAACACAUAUUUUAAAUCUAUAGAUGUAAACCUUACAUUUCUAGGAGGAGAAGAGAACAACUAUGGAAGAAAAUACCUGCAAAAUAAGAUAAAAUUAUUAAAGAACAUAGAAAAAAAAUUAAAGUUAUAUUUUUGUAUGCUUAAACUUUGUGGUUUAGUAAACUUCAUAUGAAGUCUGCAAGCUUUAGUAAACUUCUUUAGAAGUCUACACUGUCUGAUAAUUUUCAGAUCUGAAAAAAUCUAUAUAUUUUGAAAUGUGAAAAUAAUUUUAAAUCUGAAAAUACUUUACAUAAUAGAAUUUAUAAGGUAAACUAGUAGCAAAUUAAUGUAGAGAACUUGAUCUAUAAAUUUAUUUGAAUAUAAACAUGUAAAUACAUAUUUAAAAUCUAUUAAUCUAAAACUUACAUUUUUAGAGGAGAUGAUGAAAUCCAUGAGUGAUAAUACCUACCAAAAAAAGAUAAUAUUGUGAGAAAUAAACAUAAAAAUACACAUUUAAAAUCUAUAGAUCUAAAACUUACAUUUUUUUAAAUGAGAAGAUGAAAACCAUGAAUCAUAAUAUCUAAAAUGACAAGAUAAUAUUGUGAGAAAGACUUGAGAAAAUUUUAGAGAGAAAAAAGAUAAUGAGAGAGAUUUAGAAACAAUUGAGAGAAUUUUAGAGAGAAGAGAGACAGUUUUAGAGAGAAGGGAGAGAGUUUUAAAAACUUGUGCAGUCACUUUAGAGAGAGAUUGUAUAAAUUUUGUUUAUAUAGGGAGACAAAAAUGUAACUAGGUUAAAAUUUACGAUACUGUAGACUUCGUUUGAAGUCUACUAAAAUUAAAAUUUUGGAGUAGAUCUUACUAUAACAUAGUAGACCUUUUUGGAAGUUUACUAUAAUAAUUUAAUUAUUGUUGUUUAUUCUUUAUUAUUUUAAUAAUUUUAAUAUAUAAUUUAUUAAAUUUAUUUCUUUAUUUUUUAAUAGUUAUAUUAUAUGAUUUCACUUUUUUAUUCGUAAGGAACUUAACUUAGUUUAAAUAUAAUGAUUUUUUGUAAAACAAAUUGAAAAAUAUAGACUGAAAAAGACGUCUUCAGAUAAAUAGACUUUAUUGUAGGUCUACGAAACCCUAAACCACAAAUCUCAAACCCUAAAUGUUUUGCUUGAUAAUCAAAAAGUCUCAUUUAUACAAAAUAUAAACUACUAAACAUUAAUAUGCAGAUUUAAGUUAAUAAAACAAAAUCUAAAAUCUAACCCUAUGAAAUCAAUUACUUAAAGACAUAACAUGUUAGAAUCUUUUGUUUCUAAACUAUGAACAUAGUCUAACACAUGAUAACCAAAUUAGUAUAUAUUCUUCAAAAUUAUUCGAUUAUAUGAAAUUUUAAUUUAUUUACUUCAUAUUAUCCAUUAUAUUGAUGAUUAGUUAAAAAUAUCACAAUAAUUAUUUUUUUUACAUUUUCAAAAUUAAAUUAUUAGAUCAAAUUAGAGUGUAGACUACAAAACAAGUCUAUAAAGUAGACUUUGUAGGAAGUCUAUAUAUAUGUAGACUUCUUUUAUUACGUAUAGACUUCCAAAAGAUAGAAACGUAAAAUACAUUUUUGUUUUUUGUUUGGCCAUAAAAGUUAAAUAGUACUUUCACUAUUCCUUUAGGUUGGUUUUGCAUUUGACUGAAAAUGGGGUACACUUUUACAUUUGACUUGAAUAUUUGGGUUGGUUUUAGCAAAUGUCCCUUUAUUUACAGCUUUUUUAUUCGACUUGUCGUUUCAAAACAAACACCGUGGUGAUUGCAAUGGUUUUCCGAAUAAUAUAAGCACUAAUAAAUAAUUGAUAUUGGUCUCUUAGUAUAUUUAAAUGAGCAACUAAUGAUUUACUUAGUGCACCCUUAUCCUAGGUACCCAUUAUGGGUUGCCUAAUUAUUUUUUAGUAAUAUUUAAGAAGUAAAAAUUGAUCAGGGGAUUUGGUAAGCGACUUAUAAUUUUUGCACCUCCAUUGCAACUCUCUAAAAUUUUUAGGUUGCUUACAUUUAUUUAACAUUUUUUUAAAAAAUUAAAAUUUUUUAUUACAUAAAACAUAAUGAAAGAUAACUUUUUAAACAUAGAUUUUUAAAUAAAAACAUGAAACCAAAAAUAAGUAAAAUAAACGAUAAUUGUUUGAAAGAAGCAUCCGAGCUUAGUUGUUGUCUUCACCAUCCCCAAACCUACGCCAGAUAUUUUCAACCAAAUCAUGUUUCAGUUGGUGAUGCGUUGGGUUAUCACGAAUGUCUGUUCGAACAUCCAUCAUAUUUGCGAUAUUUGUAGGGCGAUCUCUAUCAAAAUCAUAAUCGACAUGUGAACUUCCGUUUUCUUCUCUUUGGAUGAACUCUGCAAGAUUAUAUUGAGUGUAUCCAUCUCGUUCGUCUUCUACUAUCAUAUUAUGGAGUAUGAUACAUGCUCUGAUAAUAUUCCCGAUUUUUUCUUUAUCCCAGAAGAGCGCUGGAUUUUUAACAAUGGCAAAGCGAGCUUGCAAGACUCCAAAAGCACGCUCGACAUCUUUUCGGGCAGCUUCCUGUUUUUGAGCAAAUAAAACUGCUUUCGGGUGUUGUGGUAAAUGAAUUGAUUGGAUAAAAGUUGUCCAAUUUGGAUAAAUACCAUCGGUGAGAUAGUAAGCCAUUUUAUAUUGUCUUCCAUUGACAGAGAAGGUGAAUUUUGGUGCUCGACCUUGAAUUAUGUCAUCAAAAAUAAGUGAUCGAUCAAGGACAUUGAUAUCAUUUAAUGUACCUGGAGGUCCAAAAAACGCAUGCCAUAUCCAGAGAUCGUAUGAAGCAACCGCUUCUAAAACGAUUGUUGGUUUACUCGAACCACGAGCAUAUUGCCCUUUCCAAGCGGUGGGACAAUUCUUCCACUCCCAAUGCAUACAAUCGAUGCUUCCUAUCAUCCCGGGAAAUCCACGAUACUCUCCAACAGCAAGUAGACGUUGAAGAUCAGCCGGAAUUGGUCUUCUUAGGUACUCAUCACCAAAAAAAUUAUUAUUCCUUCCACAAAAUGUUCCAGACAUAACCGAGUUGUUGAUUCACCGAUCCGGAGGUAUUCGUCGACCACAUCAGCCGCAAAACCAUAUGCCAUGACACGAAUGGCUGCAAUACACUUCUGAAUGGGAGAGAGACUAAUCCUUCUGAGACCAUCUUUUUUUUGGUGAAAGUAUUGAACUUCGUUGGAGAGUCGAUCAACAAUGUGCAUGAACAAUGGCUUGUUCAUUCUAAAAUGUUGUCGGAAGAAAUUUUCAGGAUAUGUGGGAGUUUCACUGAAAUAAUCAUUCCAUAAACGAUUAUGUCCUUCUUCACGAUUUCUUUCGAUAUAAGCUCGUUUUUUUCUUUUUUUUUUCUUUCUUCUUGAUCACCAUGAAUUUUAAACUCCUCAAAAGCUUGUUCAAAAUGUUGAUCAAAGAGCUCAUCAAAUGCAUCAUCAAGAGAUUCAUCUACAUUGAUAUGAGAAGAAGAAGAAGCCAUAUAUGAUGAUGUAAGAGUUCUAGAAAAUGGUGAUGUAAAAUUUAGAGAUAAAGGAAAAAAAGAUUUGAGAGUUUGCUUGGCCAAGAGUUUUAUAACUUAUGAUAAAAUUGUGAGAGAAGAGAAAGAUUUGUGAGAGAAGAGAAAGAGGUGCAAGUGACAUGAUAAUACCAAUUGCAAUAUAUAGACAUGAUAAUAUUGAGUUUGGUACAAGUUUAUACACAUGAGAAUAAAAAAGUUUGGUCGAAACACACCACACAACAACAAUGUCGUGACACUACACGACAAUAACAUAAGCUUACGUGACACUACACUACACAACCCCGUGACACUACACGUCCAAUGAUCUGUGACACUACACGACAUUUGACUUCAUACUGGUUCCUCCGUGAACCUUCCACUUCCAAUGCUCCUGUAAGAACAAGACACAAAUGAUCAAGUAUCAGUAUGAAUAACAUAAUAGAACAGAAUAAAUACUUCCACAAAUGAUCAAGUAUCAAACACAAAUGAUCAAGUACCAAGCACAAUGAUCAAGUAUCAAGAAGACAAAUCAAAUACUUCCACAACAAUGAUAAUUAGACAUAACAUGAAAUCAUUAAAAAGAGGUAAUUAUACAUAGCAGGGAAGAUGAACCUGAGAGUUACAAGACAUACUUAACAUGACAUAAUUAGACAGAAAAAGACACAAGUCCUAUGAAACAAGUAGAACAAGAACAUGACCGACUGUUACAUCAACUCAACUAUGAGUCUUUUCUUGAGAUCUUCUUCGUAAGCAGGUAAACCUUCUCCCCUUGCAACAAGACUCUCAAGAACCUUCAUCUUCGAGAGCUUUUCUUUCCUAUCGAAGUCCACCUCCUUCAGUUUCCACAUAGCCUCGAAAUCAGUGCGAUUUUUUUCCUCAGCCAACGCCUUCUUCCCACGGGCUUUUGCUGCCUUAACACCCGGAGGACGACAUGUUACCUCAUCCGGAGCUGAGCUUGCUGUAUGUGAACCAUCCUCGAACUUCCUCCUUUUGGAGCUGCUUCCACUUUUUGGUGUAGAGAGUUCACACCACUUCUGGUCAGUGCGAAGCUCCUUCCACGCAUGCUCAAUGGUGAACUUCUUCUUAUUGUUGUUAUAGUAGAUUUCGUGGGCUGCUUUUAUCACAUCAUUCUCGUUCAUACCACUGGUUUUCUCUCUGGUUGCUGCCUCAUACGCCCAACAAAACUUGCUAACCAAUUCAUUCAGCUUGUGCCAACGAUGCUUGCAUUGAGAUGCUUCUCUUUUUUCACAGCCAGCAAGCUUAGGAGACGCGAAGAAGUAUGCUGCAAUUCUCGUCCAGAAAGCCCCUCCCUUUUGGUCAUUCCCAACAACGGGAUCUUUGCUCGUGUUCAACCACGAGCUGAUCAACACUAGAUCAUCUGUUGGCGUCCACGUCCUUCUUUCCUUAUGCUCAGAUGGAAGCUCGUCAGCAAUAAUAGGAUCUCGUUGACAGCCAAAGACAACAUUUUGUUGACUAUUAAGUAGAUCAACAAAAUUGACAGUGUCUUGAAAUGGAUUGAAAUCCAUUCCCGAAGUCAGAGAUAGAGGAGAAAGAGGAGACAGAGGAGCAAUAGGAGACAGAAGAGAAAGAGGAGAAAGCGGAGACAGAGGAGUAAGAGGAGACAGAGGAGUAAUAGGAGACAUAAGAGAAAGAGGAGAAAGCGGAGACAGAGGAGCAAGAGGAGACAGAGGAGUAAUAGGAGACAGAAGAGAAAGAGGAGAAAGCGGAGACAAAGGAGCAAGAGGAGACAGAGGAGAAAGAGGAGACAGAGGAAAAGGAACAAGCAAGCGCAUUCAGAUCAGAUGUUGGAGAUUGAAGAAGAAGACAUUGGCUAUAAAUAAUUCAAGAAACCGAAGUAGCAUUCAAGACACCCAACCAAACAAUUCAUCACAUAAACCUUUCUAUCUAACAUUAAAACAAGACUUCAAUGCGUUAAGACUUGACAUUUAUCUAACACCAAACAACAAACAAUGCUAUCUAACCAUCAGUUCCAUUCAACACACUUCACGUUUGCUUUUCUAUCUAACCAUCAGUCCUAUUUAUUACCAUACACAACCAUAAUCUUACACUUAAUUCAAUUCGUAACAGAAGCUAACCACAUCAGUUCUAAUUCAAUUUACUUCAUUUCAUUUCCGACAAGAUGGAAGAGUAACACUAACCUGUAUUGAUGAACCGUGUGUGGUGAAUUUCCGACCAGAUGUUGACAGAAGCUAGCCACAUGAAAUGCUUGUUGCUCCUGUAAUCUCUCCAGACAGACCUUCAUCUCAUCACACAAAGACAGAAACAAAAUAAAAUUAGCUAAGAAAUAUUUGGCAGCUAAACCCAAAAGAAUCAAAGGACAGAAAAAUUAGCUAAAUUGAUUAACUUGCAACAAACAAAUCAAAACUGAUCUAAGCACAAUCUGAGACAUGGAUCAUUGAAGCUUUACCUGAGCGAAUCGGAGCCAUCGACAGAGACCUCCGGUGCCGUUGACGAGAUCCACUGACACAGAGCCAUAUAUCGCCGUCGACGAGAGCCACCGCGAGAAAGAAUCGAACCUACAAACAAAAAAAACAUGUGAUCAGAACAAGAAUAACUCUGAUCUAAGACAUGCAUGCUUGAAAACACAACAAACGAUUUACCUUCCAAUUCCAGUAGAUCCACAGAGACGCAGAGAGCGGUCCUUCGACUUCGAGGACACCCACGGAGAGGGAGAUAAUCAGUGAUUUCCGUCCUCGAUGACAGCCACCGAGAGAGAGGUCCGUCUUCGUUUCCUCUCGAGGAGCCACGAAGAGAGCGAGCAUCGUCGUUUCGUCUACGAGACACGGAGAUAGAGGAUCCCGUUUCCUCGACGACCGGGGGAGAGAGGGAUCAUGGCCGUCUCGGAGAGGAAUCAUGGAGAGGGAGAGAGAAUCGCCUUCUCCUUCGCCGAUGAUGGAGCGGAUUCGAGAGAAAGAGAGGAGAGAACCAAAGCAAACCGUAAUCAGGCUCAUCCUCUCUCUUCUCAUCUACCCUACACGUGUCCUAAACUACCGUUCCUUGCGUUGCCUCAUCAAGCGACGUCCCGUUUAAUUUUUAGUCUUUUUCAUUUAUUUUAAUUGCCUCAUUAACCUAAGCAACUCUCUAACUACGGUGGAUAAUGAUGCUCUUAUCACACAUGUAAUAAAACUGUUGAAUUUUGUUUUAGUUUUUUCCUUAAUUAGAAUUAAUUUAGACUUUGAACUUUUAAAAUUAUUUUUUUUAUGGUCUGUUUCUAAUGUUUGUUGCUAUUUUUUUCGAAGAUAGAAAAUAUUAUAAUAUAUAUGGAGUUUGAUUCAGUGUAUUUUUGUAAUAACAAUAGUUUUGAUAUAGUGUAGAAAUAUAAAAAUGAUAUUAUUUUUUAAAAAUAUAUCUAAUCUAUUAAGUUAAAGUUCUAUUGAAAUUUAUCAUGACAUGUUUUAAAUUUGGACUUACUGAACAUGUUGUGACUAAAUAUAUACACAUUUAUUUUUAUAAUUUCAGAUGUCAUUUUUAUCUUCUUAACACAUCUUUACCUAAUUAUUAGAUUAGACAUAUCUAUUAACCUGUUUUCCCAAUCAUGUAAUUAAACCUAUCGUUUGCCAAAAAAAAUUAAAAAUUAAAAAUCUAUCUUUGCCACACAAUCGAUUUUAUGACUUUGCUUUAAAGUUUUGACUUUAUAAUCUCAAAAUUGACUCAGAUCAUCGUAAAGUUCACAUGAUGUGCUCUUAUGUUGAUAACUUUUUUUUUAGAAUCUAGGCAAACAAUUUCUCUACCAAUUGUGUAUACCAUAUGAUCAUACCUAGCCAUGCUUUCUCUUUACAGUUAUACCUCGGUAGAUCGAAGAAUCACAAAAUGGCAAUUUGGCAAUUGGCGUUGGAUCAGCGUUAGGAUUGUAUCACUGAUCUUCAUUGCCUUUGGGUUCUUUAUCUGGUGGAGACAAAGACAUAACCAAAAGACAUUUUGAUGUUAAAGGUAUGAGAUAUUUCUCAGUUUCUUACUUGCACACAAUACAACAUUCUUUGAAGAUUCAUUUGGAAGAAACUUAUGUUGUAGUGGCUUAUCAGACGGGCAUCAUCAUGAAGACGUUUCACUUGGAAACCGCAUGAGAUUUAGUUUCAGGGAGCUUCAGGUCGUGACAAAUAACUUCAGCAGUAAAAAUCAAUUGGGAAAAAGGAGGUUAUAGAAAUGUGUACAUAUUCUUCCUAAGUUCUUCUUUACACACGAGCUUCAGAAGGCAGGAGAGGUCCAAGUAUUGCAAGUCCGUUCGAGUGAGAAUUCAGCCGACCUCUUCACCAAGUCACUACCAACCUCAACGUUCAAAAAGCUCAUAUGGAAGAUAGGCAUGCGUCGACUGAAGGAUCUUCGGUGAUGCAUUCAUCAGGGGGAGUUCAUGUGUUGUACUCUUUUUCCUGUCUUGUUUUCCCUUUUACCACAUUGGGUUUUGGGUUUGUCAAUAGAGAUUUUAAUGAGGCAACAUCCAAAGCAUGAAUGAACCUUGACCGGAUGUGUCGAUCAAGUUGGAGUGUUAUAAACCAUUUAGUGAUCGACCCAUUUAUCAGCCCGUGUAGCAAGACGGGCCAAGCCCAUCCGCAGGAUCAUACUGGCGCCUAUCUACUCUUGUGUUUAUCUACAUUAUAGUUGGUGUUUAUCUUACGUAUUGCUAGUCAUUAUCUAGUUAAGGAUAAGUACGAUCUCAUGUCGAUCCAGUACUUAGACCGUCAUUACCAUAUGUAUAUAAAGACCAGUUGGUCGACCUAAUAAUACACACAAGUUCCCCUCUUCAUUCACAACACGUUAUCAGCACGACCUUGUCUCUAAACCCUUCCAAAAAUCCACCACCCAUAAAUCAGAAACCAAACGAUCUCUUGCUAUUUUCCGGCGACUCCUAAAGCUCUUCCAGUCGCCUCAUUUUCUCUCUGUCAGCAACCAGCAGCAGCUCUCUCUCCUCACAGACCGUUCAACUCAUCACAAAAGGUUCAGGUAUCUUCAGAAAACUCAAAACAAAACCAAAAAGGAUUUAAACCCUCAGCCGCAUACAUACAGCUACAUCUAGCCGUAUGUCUUUGCAGAAUAAAAUCUAAAACCCUAAUCUAUUUUUAAAGCUUAAAUCUCGUAUUGUUUCACCCUCUUUAAGCUUGUUUGAUUUUUUUUUUUUUAAUUUUUCUAAUGUGAGUUAAUUGCUAGAACCUUUUAGGUUGACAAUUACACCAAUUUUUUUUACAUAUCUGACUGCUGCAUCAACUUAAUUUGAUUGUUUGCUUGUAUUAGAAACUUGUUCUUGAAUGUUUAAAGUCUUUCUCUGAUAUGUUGAAAUCGACUAGAACCUGUCUCAAAUUUGAAAGAAUUUUUUUAAUAUUUUUAAGAUAAAUCCGAUUUUUCUUAUAGAUAAAUCUGAAAUUUUUAAAGAUAAAUCUGAUUUUUUUUUUUGAUAAAUCCGACUGAAAACAAUAUAUUAUAUAUUUUAAUUCGAUUUUCCUAUUUUUUUAAAAAUCUUAUAUCUUUAUCUUAAAUAAAAAAAAAUAGGAUUUUCAGCAUUUAUCAGAAAAAUAUCGAUUUAUUUUUCCUAAUCCUACUAGGAAUAGGAAUUGCUAGUAUUUAUCUGAAAAUAAAUAAAUUUCGGAUUAUUACUGAUAUACUAGCAUUAUCAAAUCAUUAUAUUUAAUCUGAUAAAUAUCGAAAACAAAUAAAAGUAAGAAAUGAUUGCAUUUUUUUUUUGAAAAUGUAUACUAAUCUGAUUUCAUGCAUGGAUUUAACUUUAUCUCGAUUUUGUAUAGGUUUAACUUUACCUUCCUGCAUAUCACAUGAAAUCAUCUGAUUAGGAUAGAUAAUUCACACUGAUUAGUUUACUUUCAUGUCGAAAAUUGAUAAAACUGAUCAGAUUUCAUGCAAUGGAUUUAACUUUAUCCUAGAUGUAUAGGUUUAACUUUACCUUCCUGCAUAUACAUGAAAUCGUUUGGAUCAUUGAAAAAAAAAAUAUUGUUAUUUACUAGCAUUGCUUGUACCCGACUGAAAGAGUAUGUGAAUGAUCCGAUUAUUUUCUUACUAAUGGGGAUAAACUACAAAUACUAAUGAGGCUAAUGCCGUCUUGAAUAAAGAAUUCAAAGAAGAGUUCACUCUUUGGCACAAUCGGCUGGGACACCCCGGUUCGAACAUGAUGCGAAAACUCAUAUCAAAUUCAAAUGGUCACAGUUUGAAAACAAAAAGAGUUAUCCCUAAGAAUAUCACAUGUGAAGCAUGCUCACAAGGGAAACUAAUUACUAAGCCAUCAUGUACCAAAGUGAAUAAGGAAGUGACAAAUUUCAUAGAAAGAAUACAAGUUGAUAUUUGUGGACCAAUACACCUACCCUGUGGGACAUUUAGAUAUUUUAUGGUCCUGAUUGACGCAUCCACAAGAUGGUCACAUGUUUGUCUCCUAUCAACUCGUAAUCUAGCACUUGCAAGAUUGCUGGCUCAGAUAAUAAGACUGAGAGCACAUUUUCCAGAUUUUCCAUUAAAAACUAUACGUCUAGACAAUGCAAGUGAAUUCACUUCCCAAGCUUUUAAUGACUAUUGUAUGUCCAUGGGGGUAAGUGUGGAGCAUUCUGUAGCACAUGUCCAUACUCAGAAUGGCGUGGCUGAAUCCUUUAUAAAACGGAUCCAGCUGAUUGCCCGGCCACUCUUAAUGAAUACCAAACUCCCAGUAUCAGCUUGGGGACAUGCAGUACUACAUGCAGCUGAGCUAAUUCGCAUCAGGCCAUCUAGUGAGCACAAAUAUUCGUCAUCCCAACUACUAACGGGUCAUGAGCCAGAUAUAUCCCAUCUAAGAAUUUUUGGAUGUGCCGUCCAAGUGCCUAUAGCACCACCACAGAGAACAAAGAUGGGACCUCAGAGGAGGAUGGGAGUAUAUGUUGGAUACGAUUCCCCUUCUAUUAUUAAGUACCUAGAGCCAACAACAGGUGAUUUGUUUAAGGCCAGGUUCGCGGAUUGUCAUUUUGAUGAAUCCCAGUAUCCAGCAUUAGGGGGAGAUUAUGGUAAGCUGGUACAAGAUAUAAAAUGGAAUCAAACAUCCUUAACAUGGCAGGAUCCUUGGACUAGAGAUUGUGAUCUAGAAGUCCGGAAGAUUAUACAUCUUCAAGAGCUAGCUAACAGAUUGCCAGAUUCCUUUGCUGACCCAAAUAGAGUAACCAAGUCAUACAUACCAGCUGCAAAUGUACCAAUAAGACUUGAUGUCCGUGAUGGACAUAAUCAGGCUGCUACUACGUCUAAACCACAAUUGAAACGUGGUAGACCAGUAGGUUCCAAAGACAAAGAAGUUCGGAAAAGAAAGAGUGCAAAGAAAUCCAACAAAGUGGAAACUCUAGACAUGGAAAAGGAAACUCAUGUACCACCAAAAGAUACUUGGGACGCUAAGAAUCAAGGUAAUGAAGUUCCUGACAAUAAUGAGAUCUCAAUAAAUUAUGUCAUGUCUGGAAGGAAAUAGAACAGAAAACAUGUCGACAUGAAUGAUAUAUUUGCUUAUAAUGUAGCAGUCGAAUUGAUGGAUAAUAAGGAUCUAGAACCCACAUCUAUACUAGAAUGUAUGCAACGACCAGAUUGGUUGAAAUGGAAAGAAGCCAUUAAUGUGGAGUUAGAAUCACUGAAAAAGAGAGGAGUGUUUGGACAGAUCAUCCGGACACCUCACAACAUAAAACCAGUGGGAUACAAAUGGGUUUUUGUGAGAAAAAGAAAUGAGAAAAAGAAAUGAGAAAAGAGAAGUUGUGAGAUAUAAAGCACGACUUGUUGCACAAGGAUUCUCACAAAGACCAGGAAUAGAUUAUGAGGAAACUUAUUCCCCUGUGGUGGAUGCUACGACCUUAAGAUUUCUAAUAAGUCUGGCUGUAAGAGAAGGUCUUGAUAUGCGGUUAAUGGAUGUUGUAACUGCCUACUUAUAUGGUCCACUGGAUAAUGAGAUAUACAUGAAAAUUCCAGAUGGUAUUGAAUUGAAAAACAAAGAGAGUUCUCGAGAACAACAUUGUAUCAGAUUGAACAAGUCUCUUUAUGGAUUAAAGCAAUCAGGUCGAAUGUGGUACAAUAGACUGUCCGAAUAUCUCCUGAAAGAAGAAUACAAAAACGACCAGAUCUGCCCAUGCAUAUUCAUAAAGAAGUUCAAUAAGGGUUUUGUAAUCAUUGCAGUAUAUGUAGAUGAUUUAAAUAUCCUAGGAACCUCUGGAGAAAUUUCCCAAACUGUUGAAUAUCUCAAGAAAGAAUUCGAGAUGAAAGAUCUUGGAAAAACAAAGUUUUGUUUGGGAUUGCAACUUGAGUAUAUGAAAGAUGGAAUUCUUGUGCAUCAAAAGGCAUAUACAGAAAAAGUACUCAAAAGAUUUAAUAUGGAUCAGUCUCACCCAUUGACUAGCCCCAUGGUCGUGAGAAGUCUUGGUCCGGACACUGACCCAUUUGGUCCGAAGAAGAAAAAUGAGGAAGUCCUUGGUCCCGAAGUGCCUUAUCUCAGUACCAUAGGAGCUCUGAUGUAUUUAGCUGGCCACACACGACCAGACAUCAGCUUUGCUGUGUACUUACUUUCUAGGUUCAGCUCCUGUCCGACCCAAAGGCACUGGAACGGGAUUAAACAUAUACUUCGUUACCUACAAGGAACGAAAGACUUGGGUCUUAUGUUUACUGACAAAUCUAAGGAAGAUUUAGUUGGUUUUGCUGAUGCAGGUUAUCUCUCUGAUCCACAUUAUGCUAGAUCUCAGACUGGUUAUGUUUUUACACACGGUGGGACAGCUAUAUCCUGGCGGUCCAUGAAGCAGACCAUGGCAGCCACAUCCUCUAACCACGCAGAAAUAUUAGCCAUGCAUGAAGCCAGCCGUGAGAGUGUAUGGAUGAGAUCCAUGACACAACAUAUUCGUACCACUUGUGGUAUGAUCAAAGGAAAGGAUCCACCGACCAUCCUAUACGAGGAUAACACAUCAUGCAUCGAACAGCUUAAGGAUGGAUACAUUAAAGGAGAUAGGACGAAACACAUUCUUCCUAAGUUCUUCUUUACACACGAGCUUCAGAAGGCAGGAGAGGUCCAAGUAUUGCAAGUCCGUUCGAGUGAGAAUUCAGCCGACCUCUUCACCAAGUCACUACCAACCUCAACGUUCAAAAAGCUCAUAUGGAAGAUAGGCAUGCGUCGACUGAAGGAUCUUCGGUGAUGCAUUCAUCAGGGGGAGUUCAUGUGUUGUACUCUUUUUCCUGUCUUGUUUUCCCUUUUACCACAUUGGGUUUUGGGUUUGUCAAUAGAGGUUUUAAUGAGGCAACAUCCAAAGCAUGAAUGAACCUUGACCGGAUGUGUCGAUCAAGGGGGAGUGUUAUAAACCAUUUAGUGAUCGACCCAUUUAUCAGCCCGUGUAGCAAGACGGGCCAAGCCCAUCCGCAGGAUCCUACUGGCGCCUAUCUACUCUUGUGUUUAUCUACAUUAUAGUUGGUGUUUAUCUUACGUAUUGCUAGUCAUUAUCUAGUUAAGGAUAAGUACGAUCUCAUGUCGAUCCAGUACUUAGACCGUCAUUACCAUAUGUAUAUAAAGACCAGUUGGUCGACCUAAUAAUACACACAAGUUCCCCUCUUCAUUCACAACAAGCAGAUGUUUUCUAAUUUGAUGCGUAACAUUGAGAUAUACCGAUUCUCUAAAUAUAUUUAAAAUUUAAAGACAUUCAAUAACAAAAAAUAACCAAAAACAUAGCUUACCUAAUUCAAAAUCAAGAUUAAAAAAUUUCAUAUCCCUCUAAAGAUCUACGGGUUCGAAUUGGACUAGAAAUUUUAUUAGGUUCCUGACAUUGUUAUUUGAACCAAACCAACAACCAAAAUAACAAAAUCUAAUGCAAAUCAAAAUUCAUAAAUAACCAAACUAUUACUAUAUUUUGUGAACCGAAAAUCUAUAACCAAACCGGAAUCAAUCAAAAAAUCAAAAAAUACAAUCUAGACGCAAAACCAAAAUUUAUAAAUUAUCAUCAAAACCAAAAAUCAUAAUAUAAAUAAUUUUGCGCAACCGCGCGGGUCAGAAACUAAUAUAUAUUAAAAAGCAAUGAAUUGGAGUGAAUUACCUGUAAAAAAUAUUAUAGAUUUAAAAUAGCAAUGGAUUAGAAAUGCUGUAAUUAGCCUAAAUAUAACGUAAAAUAUUAUUUUUAUCAAAUUUUAAAAUUAAAGCAAGGUAAAACUAACAUUUAUGCUUAAAAUUUAGUUUAUUACGUCUAGUGGUAAUUUUGUUUUAGUUGAUAUUGGUGUUUUGAUUUUUGAAACAUGUUACUGAUUUACUAAAAACAAUGAAUUUUGUUAAUAAUUAAAAUGUAGAUAUAUAUAUAUAUAUAUAUAUAUUUUAUAUAUUAAAACAGAAGUAACGACUUUGAUUCAUGUGUGAUUUUUUUAAAAAAGGACCGAAUGGACCUAUUCCUAGAAAGUCAUGUUACAUUUAAUAUAUAAUCUUAUCAUUUAAAUUUUGGGCCUACCAGAAACUUUUAUUGGUCUAUCAAUAAUUAUAUUUAAACAAUAGAUGAUCAAUUGAAUUUAUAGAUAGUAUAAAUUAAAUAGAUAUAAUUUAAUGUUGUAAUACUAUACCUCCAUAUGUUAAAUAUAUAAAUAUUUGUCGAUGUUAACUUUUAAAAGUAUAAAAAAAAAUUUAAAAUAACAAAAAUCAUAUUAUCUAACAAUGAUUAAUUUUUACUACCUUAAACCAAUGAAAACAAAUUUUAAACUAUAUAGUUUAUUUUAAAAAUUAAACAAAAACUAAAUGUUUAAUUAUUUACUCGAUAAUAUAAAUCUAUGAAGCAGAAAGUUUAAUUUUUUAAAAACUUUCUAAAUUUGUGAAAUGUUACAAUAUCUUUGAAUAUGACAAUAAAACAAUAUUUUACUAAUCUUUAUAUAUAUAGUUAUAAUUUUAAUAAAGAAAUAAUAAUCCGAAAAUAUAUAUAGAAGAAGAUACAAAUACAUGUGAAACCUUAAGACAAUAUAUUCAAUGAAAUAAAUAUGCCGUAAACUUAUUAUAUUUUAAAAAUUGAUAGACACAUAUAUUAUAAUAUAUAUCAAUUUAGAAUUGAAAUCAAAAUAUAUAUAUAUAUAUAAAUAAACGAAAACAAAAACCCGUGCGGUUGUGCGGAUCGAGAUCUAGUCUUAUAUAUUAAAACAGAAGUCACAACCUUGAUUAAAGUGUGAUUUUUUUAAAAAUGGACCUAAUGAACCUAUUCAUAAAAAGUCAUAUUACAUUUAAUCUCUAAUCUUAUCAUUUAAAUUUUGGGCCUACCAGAAAUAUUUAUUGGGCUAUCAAUAAUUGAAUUUAAACAAUAAAAGAUUCAUUGGAUUUAUAGAUAAUAUAAAUUAAAUAGAUAUAAUUUAAUGUUGUAAUACUAUAACUCCACAUGUUAAUUAUUUAAAUAUUUGUCGAUGUUAAUUUUUAAAAUUAUAAAAAAAAAUUUUAAAUAACAAAAAUUAUAUUAUCUAACAAUUAUUAAUCCUUACUACCUUAAACCAAUGAAAAUCAAUUUUAAACUAUAUAGUUUAUUUUAAAAAUUAAACAAAAACUAAAUGUUUAAUUAUUUACUCGAAAAUAUAAAUCUAUGAAGCGAAAAGUUUAAUUUUAUAAAAACUUUCUAAAUUUGUGAAAUGUUACAAUAUCUUUGAAUAUGACAAUAAAAAAUUAUUUUACUAAUCUUUAUAUAUAUAGUUACGAUUUUAAUAAUGAAAUAAUAAUCCGAAAAUAUAUAUAUAGAAGAAUAUACAUGUGAAAGUUUGAAACAAUCUAUUCAAUGAAAAACAUAUACCUAAACUUAUUAUGUUUUAAAAAUUGAUAAACACAUAUAUAUAUAUUAUAAUAUAUACUAAUUUAGAAUUGAAAAUAAAAUAUUUAUAUAAAAAUAAAUGAAAAUAAAAAUCUGCGCGGUUGCAUUUGUCGAGAUCUAGUAUAUAUAGAUUUUAGGGCUACUAAUACGUGAUUCUAGAAAACACUCCCCGAUUACUAACAAAACGAAAUAGAAAAUAAACAACGACUUCAAAGUACCUGAUAAUACAAUAAAAUUAUAAGGUUUUUAACGAAAACAAAAUUAAAGACCUAAUAAUCGUGGCAAAAAAUAUUAAACAAAGACCUGGCAUGUUUUCUACAUAAAACAUCUCCAACCCAAGACCUUAUUUUAAGGGGAGCAAAACCACGAAAUAAAAAUUUGAAAAUUGAUUACUCCAACCAUGAAUCCUCAAAAAAAUCUUUAAAAUUUUAUUUAUUUACAUUAUAAUCUUUGACAUUAACAAAAAUUACUAAUAAUGAUAAAACUUCACAAACACAUAUAAAAUAUAUUUUUAAUAUACUAUACAACACACAAUAUUAUAAUAUUAUAUAAUAUAAGUUACAUAUAUAAUAAAACAACACACAUACGCACAAAUUUUAAAAAGUUUCAUAUAACAUGCCAAAUUACUCAAAUAUUAUUUUUAAGAUAUGUAAUAUAUAAAUGUUUAUAUAAUUUUCUUUAAUUUGUGUUAAAUUUGUUUAUUGUAUUUUUUAUUUUGUGUGAGCUUUAUUUAAUGUAUUUUUCUAUUGUGUGAACUUUAUUUUCAUGUUAUGCAAUAUUUAUUUUAUUUUAUUUUAUUUUAUUUUAUUUUGGUGUACUUAAAUUAUCCUAAAUAAAGUUAUUAGAUACAUUUGUUAAAGAAAAUAAUUAUAAGGACCAAAAAGAAAAUGAAUAGUAGUUUUGAGGUUUGAAUAGUGAAACCUCAAAUUUAAGGUGUCACUAUUCAAAACCUCAAAAUUUGAAAAUUUGAGGUUGCAUUGGAAUGACAAAAACCUUAAUAUUUGAGGAUUUGAGGUUAUAUAUGUUUAUAAUAUUGUAAAAACUAAAAUAUAAUAUUAUAAAAUUAAUUCAUGUAUAAAUAUUAAUAAAAUUUAAAAAUUUAAUGUAUUUUAAAAAUACGGAUCCGGAUCCGGAUAUCCGGACCUAAAAAUUAAGAUAUCCGGAUCCGGAUUCGGUUUCCACGGAUCCAAGAUUAUACUAUCCGGUUUUGGAUUCGGGCACCUCGGAUAUCCUAUUUUCGGAGCGGAUCUAGAGCGGAUCUCGGAUCGAAUCCGGAUCUCGGAUCGAAUCCGGAUCUCGGAUAAUAAGUCUCCCGCCUAGUAUGAACCGUAUGGUUGUUGAAUAGCUUACAUAUUUUUUUAAUAUUUUUUUGUGGAACGUAAAAGUAUUAUACUCCACGUGAUCUAGUGUCUACAUUUUAACAUUUAAACACCACGUGAUUGUGACAAAAAAAAAAAAAAACACCACGUGACAAAUGACAAUUCAAGUAGACACCUGUAAUGAAUUAAGGAUGUCCUCUCUUUCCGACCGAAGAAAUGAAAUAGAUAUCGUUAUUUGUUAAUAGAGGCCGGUUUUAAUUAUUGGUUUAAUUAUACAAUGACAUUAUUUUUUAAACAACACACUGAAAUAUUUAAAGUGUUCGUUGGAAUAAUUAUCUGACAUAAGUAAUACUCCCUCCAUAGGUUUAUACGCACAGGUUAAUAAAACAUAUAAUUUGUAUAUUUCCAAAAUAAAUACACAAUUACUUAUAGAUUUAAUCAUAUUUCAACCAAUAAAAAAAUAAAAUAAAAUUUAUUUUAAAAAAUAAAUUAUUUCAAAACAAGUGUCGUUUUACGGUUUCAAUAUAAAAUUUAUUAAUAAGAUUAAACAAAGAUUUAUCAUGUGACCAGUCUGAUAUAACAUAUACCAUUAUUGCUCUCAUACUUACGUUUUGUUUAGAAAAAUAACAUCUUUUAUGCCCUAGCAAAAUACUUUGUAUGAACAUUUUUCUUGUACAGUCCAUCGUUUUUUUCUUUUGCAACUAUCGAUUGAAAUAAACCCUUUCUCAAAAAAAAAACGAUGGAAAGUUUGGGCCAUUGUAGUGAAUAGUGAUUAUCACUAGCAUGGGCCAUUGUAUAUUAAUUUGGAAAAGAAAAAAACAACAAGAAAAAAAAAUUAUCUUUCUGCAAUUGUAUUGUUUUCACGUAGGAUAAGCAGUCACAUGCAUUCAGGCAUGCGUUCAGUAUUAACUUUAUUUUACUUCUCACAUUCCUUUAUUUUUGUUUUAGUUGUCACAAAUUAAAUAGUUUUAUUUUGUUUUACUGGCGGUCUUGUAAAUAAAGAAGGGAGUCUAGAGUCUGGACGAAUGUGGCAGACAUCACUCGCCAGCGAUAAGAGAAAAGGCUGUGAAGAUCGCAUAGAAGAAACAAAUCUAGAAAUCACGAGUGCUUAAGACAUUAUAUUUUAUGAAAACGAAAGAACAUGACAUAUUUUCUUUAAUUUCAAUUAUUUCUUUUUUUUAAUGAACCGGCGCAGGUGGUAUGGGUUGGUCCAUCAUCCGCAGAUAUCUUAUAUACUAAAUCACAAGUCACAUGAGACGCAUAAGAUAUGUUUUUUAAUUUUAAUGUUAAAAUAAAAAAAUAUUUAAUGCAAAAAACAGUUUCGUCUAUUUGUCUUUUAACUGAUUUUUUUAAAAAAUUUUAAUAAAAUAAAAAAUUCACAAAAUUUCUCACACUAACCCCAUGAUCUCACCAUUUUUGGAACCGUUAAUAUUUUUCUAGAUAGAAUUACAGUGCGUAUAACGUAAGUAAUUCAUCUCUAUUUGCUUUCAGAAAUGGUUAAUUCCUAAAUUCUUCUAACAGUUUCUAAAUCUGAUAAAAUGCGAUGAAAUUUCAAUUUUUAAGCAAAUAGAUCGAAAACUUCUACUGACGUAUCCACGGUAUUGAAUCUACAAUUCUGGAUCCAUCAACAUAAUCUCUGGUGAAAUGUAAGCAUAUUUCUAAGUCGGCUGCUGUAAUUUAGUAAAAAGAAAAAAAGUUGACUGAUGUAUGUUAAAGUCUAGGUUAGAAACUCUAAAAACACUUAAACUCUUCAUGCUCAAUUUCUAAUUUGCAUCACAUCAAAUUUGUUUCUCAUAAACAGUUUUCUUUUCUAGUCUGCUUAUUGUUUUUUCCUCUUUUUCUUUUAUAGAUAUAGGAAAAAGUUACAGUACUGGAUGAGAAAGAUAAGCGUAAACUAAACAAGUCAAUAAUUUGAAUAUUUUCAAACUGAUUAUAUCAAUUCUCGAUUUGCUAGAAAUGCUUAUUUUGUGUGGUGGUGAUAGAUUAUAUAGGGAAUGAGAGUAAGAGAUAUUCAUCUUAAAACACACGUACAAUAAUUUAAAAUUUUAAGAAGUGUCCCCAGAAGAAAAAAAUGUGAUGAUAAUUAGAAGGCAACAAAUGGAGCGUAAGACUCAUCUACUGUCUAGGUAAAAACCUAAUCUGAUCAGGAUGGUCUUUUUUUUUUUAUUCAUGUGUUUUUUGUUUGCUAACUUUGAUCAAUAUAUAAUUUUUUGCUUUAUUGUUCUUAUAGUACUGUAACUAAAUUUGUAGAUCGUUUUAGAAACAAAAAUGUUGAAGCAAGUAUGCACAAAAAUGAAGAACUGUAAAGGAUGCAAUGAAAGAAAAUAAAAGCAUUUAUAGGCAAAUUAGGAAAACACUACAUAACUUCAAUUAUCUACAAAACUAAGGUUGGUAUUUUAAUUGUACUUAUGCAAAAUUUGUAUAUUCACCUUAUUAACCCUUUCUUUAAUUUGUUUUUCAUAUGUACUAAUUUUUUCCUUGAUUUUGUAAAGCUACCAGUAUUUUACAUUCAAUGGUUUAUAUCAGACUAUUGUGAGAUAUAAACAUCAAAUUUGUAAAGCUACCAUUAAAGUUUCAAAAUAUUUUUUUUUCAUUGUUAAGUUUACACAUACUAUACUUGGGAUAUACAUGUAUAUAUAAAUAAAUAACGCACGGGAUCUGAUACUUAAAACCUAUUUCAGAUUUAUACGAUGUCCCGAAAACAUAUGCAUUCGAUAUAUACUUAUCGAAUGGUGUGUAACUUAAUAUCCGAUACAUGAUUUUGGGCCUGGGCAAAAUAACCGAAACCGAAGAACCGAACGGGAACCGAACCGAAAUACCUGAAACUGGAACCGGACCAAUACUCUCAAAUACCCAAACGGCUCCUAUAUUUUUAUACCCAAAAUAACCGAACCGAGAACCGGACGGAUACCCGAAUAUAUAAAUAUUAAUUAUAUAUACAUAUAACAUCACUAAAUACAUAUUUUUAAUUUAAAAUUCUAUUAAAAGUAUCUGAAAAUAGUUGAGGAUAACUAAAUUAUUAUAAAGUAUCCAAACUACCUGAAAGUAUCAGAAACUAUCCGGAUGGUUUUAUCCGAAAUAUCCAAAGUAAUCCGAAAUGUCCAAAUUUUUUUAUCUAAAUCAUCCUAAUUAUUUGAUAUUUUACCCUAAAUAACCGAUAUUUUAUCCAAAUUAUCCGAACUACCCGAACUAUCCGAACCCAAACCGGAUUGAUGAUGGGAGUUUCAAGGCUCCUAAUCAAAUGUUGUAGAAUAAAGGAUGUCAAACCAGUUCUAAGUGAUUCUAAAGCAAAGGGAAUGCAAGACCAUGCUUAAUCUAAGUGCUAUCAAUUGGUGAGAUGAUUUUUGAACUAGAAUGAUACUAAAAUGCAAUAAAGGACAAAGCUUUCUUUCUUAUUAGAUAAGAGAACUCAUGAGCUAAAGGAAUUGACCUUGGGUGAUCAAGUUUCAAUCUAAAGAUGUUAACUUUCAACCAAUUUAUCUACCUUAGACCUAGACACCAUCCUAAACAAACUUUAUCUCUAGAUGAAUAUUCAUUUACUAAGAUAACUCAAGCAUCAAAUCUCUUUGGUUGAAUGUUAUCUAAGUAAUCAUUAAUCUCAAGUCUACUAGCCAUCUUAACACCUUUAACAACAAAUCUCUUUGGUAAAUAAUGUUAAAAGCUUAGGAGAGUUCGUUCAGGCAUUUCAUCAAACACCUUUCAGGCAUAAAAUGCCUAGAGCUCAACUUUAGAGAGGCCAACUCUAGAGUUGCAUUAAAAGCUCUCUACUAGCAAGGAACAAGAUGAAUCUAUACUAAAACUCCUUAGAUCUAGCUUAAUCACCCUUAGUCGCCCUAACCCAUGAAUCCAAAGAUGACUACUCACUACUCUUCAUAAUGAGCCCAAGAAUCAAUGAUGAUUUGGUGCUAAUCAUGAUUAGUGAUCCCAAUAAUCAAACAAUCACAAGAGAAAAUGAUCAAGAUAAGAUCUUUCACCUAAAAGUUCUUUGUGAUUAGAUAGAGAAAACAAGAUGAUCCCCCAACUUUGGGAUUACAAGAGUAUUUAUAUCUCCUUGGUAAACCUAAUGGUUUCCAUUAAAAAGUCUAAAAAGCCCUUAAAAACAUUAAAAUUUGACUUAGGAUAAAUAUCGACUCGGGUUGGAGACUCUGGGCAUACCCCGCGUCACACCACCCGCGUCGGAUGGUUGUCGAUCUUCUCCGUCAUGCGCGCGGGUAAUGGAACCCGCGGCCUUUGUCCCGCGUUAGACCGUCGAGGCUGCUCUCUCGUCAUGCGCGCGGAUAGUCGAUCCUGCGUGGCUCCGUCCCGCGUGACUCCUCGGUUCCUUCUCUUCGUGACGCGGGUUGAGACGAUCGACACCAACCCGCGUCAUCCUCCCCGCGCUGGAUUUUUGAUGAUUCUUCUAGCUCGUGCGAGCGGGUACUCGACCCCGCGUGAUCCAAGCCGCGUUGGAGUUCUUCAUUCUGUUCUUCUCGACGCCUCGACGCGGGUAAGAGAACCCGCGUUGGCUCAACCCGAGUUGUGCUCGCUUGAACUCGAACUAACAUCAUUUUUCGUCUCUUUUUGAGCCAUAAUGCUUCUAAACACUUCCAAUUACUCCAUAGGACACUCCACUACCUGAUUAGGACAUAUGAAUGCAAUAUGAAUUCUAAAGAUGCUAAAUUCCUAAUCUAUAUGAUCAUUAUGUGUGAAAUGGGGACUUAAAACAAUGCAAAUAUGCAAGAUAUCAACUCCCCCAAGCUUGUUCUUUACUUGUCCUCAAGUGACUUUGCAAGAACUCAUAAGGUAAAGAGGUUUGAAGGUGGGAACUCAUAGCCAAAAGUAACACUCCCUAGUACUCAACUUAACAUCCUAAGGAAACAUAGCAAAUAGCAUGAGCAACUCUCUUAUUAUACUCUAGCUUCUCUAGGCCUAUCAAUACUCCAUAUGCCUCUACACAAGUUGCAAUACUCAUCAACCAACAAGUUCUUUAAACCAGCUCUCACAUUGAUUCACACACACACACACAUGGUGAAUUCUCACAGAUGGGCACAUGAUCUCAAUCAUUUGGCUAGGUAAGGAUGGUCUAAUAUGAAUGAAGAGAGAAAGGUUCAAAUGUCAUCAUUUCAAGGUGGUUAUCACUCAAAAACAAGGAGCUUGAUCAUUAUGCAAAAUUUAUCUAAGAUUAGAAGCAACUCAUGCAUACAUAGAUUCAUUCUCAUCAUACUACCCCUUUUGUUAUAAUCACAAGUCCUACCCCUUUUUAUCAUAAUCUCAAAAUCAAAGUAAACCCCUCACAUCACUCACCCAAUGAACAACUCUCUUUUUCUUUUGACUCAACUACUAGGGAUUUUAAUUCACUCUUUACAAACUCUAACUCUUUUUCAUUCCCUUCCCCAACUUCUCAUUGAUUUUUUUUUUUUUUUUUUUUUUUUUUUUUUUUUGGGGGGANNNNNNNNNNNNNNNNNNNNNNNNNNAUUUUUUUUUUUUUUUUUUUUAUUUUUUUUUUAUUAGGGGGAAGGUUCUUUGUUGCAUAAUCAAGAGCUUCAUCUUUUCUUUAUCCCUAGAGUUUUCAUUUCUAUUUAAUCUCUUUUGCUCAUCUCUCUCAUCUUUCUCACUUUCCAAAACCCAAGUUAUUAACAUUUAGAACACACAAACCCCUCUCACCAUCCCCAAAUGCUAGCUCAUUUUGCUUGCAAGAGAUGAGAACAAAUCUAUGUCGCCUCCAAUACUCUCAAGAUUUUGCACAUGACAAACUAUCAAAAGAGGCCUCACUCAUGCAAUUUAAAUGUUUUGAUCUCAAAGAAUGGCUAGGGUUGUAGGGUAUGGAGUGCCAUUUGGGUUAACAAAGAUUGGUAUAUAAAGGAAUAAGAUAACCCAAAUGUGUAUGAGAUCCAUGAUCAAGUAUGCAAAUGCCCAUAUGUAAAAGAGAUUAAGUUCAUUCAAGCCAAGUUCGGGUUGGAGCUGAUCUCAAGAACAAUGCCAACAUCAAGCAAGCAAACAAGUUUCAAGAAGAGUUUUCAAGGCUCGAAGCGUGCAAGGUUUUCAAGAGAUGCUUAAGCUACUUGAUAUGUUUAACUAGGAUGUCAUUUUGAGUUCUAGACAAGGGUUCUUUGCAAGGCAUUUUAAAUCAUUGUUCCCAAUGCAAGUGAAUGCAACCUAUAUGUUCUAGACUCAAUCCUAAAAGUGCAAGUGACGCAACUACAUGUUUUUUUUUUUUUUUUUUAAUGCAUAUAUGUAUGUACAAUGCAAUGCAUGAGACUCAAAUCAUCAAAGAAAACGUGAUCAAAUACUUGAUACCUCCCCCAAACUUAGUUCACACAGUCUCUGUGUUAGGAAGUUGAAGGAGAUAUCGAAAAGAGAAAAAAAUGCAAAGAAAAACUGGUAUAUACAAUGGGAAGUGGUAGAGUACCUCUCUAUGAAGCGUGGGAGGAGCCCGAUGCCUCAUCCUCGGUGUCAGCUUCCUCAUCUGUAGAGGCAAGGGAUGGAGAUUUGUUUCCUGAGUCGCACUGUUGAGCUGGUGGGUUUCUCUUCUGGCGGAGCAGCUCUUUCUCGGUGGCGGGAAGUCUGAGUGCUAAAGGACCAAUUGAAGGCUGAGGCUGGGGGUAAGGAAGUCAAAUUCUGAUGAUGAACAUCCCGUUACAGCUCCUCUAGUCAGUAUAUCAGCUACCUUCUUCAUGAACUGAGCUGAAGCUUCUGCUUGCCUCUUCACAGUCUUACUCAACGCCUUACACUUGUCUUUGAGCUUGAAGAUUGUUCUGUCCUGAGCUUUGUUCCAUCGUUGGAGUUUGCUGAUAUGCUCAUGAGCCUGGCGAUGGGGUCCAUGGGGAAGAGCUCCCGGAUGCUGCUCAAAGUAGUAACGAGGAGGACCAUAGAGGAGCUCGGAGUUUAGACCGGAAGCUUCUUCUUGGAAAAUACCACAUCUAUCUGCUGUCUUCUUCCUCUUGGGAGAUCGUAUGGGGCCUAGAGGACCAUGGGGACCAAGGAAGUGCUCACUCCCAAUAUCAAAGCUAAUAGCUCCAGGCCUAGUCAAGCUUGUCAGGGCGGUGUUUGGGAGAAGCACUUCAACCUCUCGUGUAGACUGUAUGUAAGAAUAGACGCAAGUUCCAUUGAACCUUCCACUGAAGUACUGAGCUUUCUUCAAGUAGCUUCCGUCUAAGAAGGCGGGACCAGUUGGAUUAUCUUCUAAGGGUAUAUCCUUGAACUGAAGCAAUGGGGUUAUCAAACCACCAAUGCCAACCUGAGGCUCUGAGUCACUUGUUGUCCAAGCCCAUUCCUUGUAGUGGACGAGGCGCUUCACAAAGAAUCCCACCAUGCCAAAGUUCUUGUAGAAGUCAGCAUCGACCAAAGGCAACUGAGAGGGAUGAGCAUAAUGCUGAACGGUUUGGUGAAGAAGUUGUAGCUCCUCAUCAUUAACAGUGCCUGGUUCUUUUCUUGGAAAGAUGGUGUGGACAAUUAACCGGUGGAGAUAGUGCACUGGAGGGUGGCGAAUGGAAGCAUUCUUGUCACGGCUUGGCUUGCGAGUCUUCCCCGCCAACACCUUCCAAACCAUUCUAGCCAUGCUUUCCUCCCUAGGGGCAUCAUAUAGGAUAGAGAUGGAAGAUUCCUCCAAAUCCUGAAGACCAAGAGCUUGUCCAAUCUCUUUGAAGGUCAUGUUGUAAACCUUCUCAUGGACUUUGAACUUGAUCUUUCCCCAUCCUUGCCUCACAUGUUUGGCGGUGUGAAAAGUAGCUACCAAUGAUGACAAGAACUGACAAGACUCAUCUUCGUAGGUAGGAUAGGCCAUAGUGAAGAAGCUUUGCAUGUUCAUGUGCUCCAACAUUUGCUUGAUGUCGUCACCUAUCUCCAACUCUUCCAUGAUCUUGAUAUCUGCAAAUCGAGUUGGAGGCCACGAUACACCAUUCUUCAAAUGCCCAUAUAGCUCAUCUUCAGUUGGUGUCUUGGUUCUAUCCCUCUUAGUGUCGACCUUCUUCCCCGUAGACACUUUGGCUCGCUUGUGCGGGGCUUGGUCUUCUUCAGUGAUGUCUUCAUUCUCCUCCUCUUGGGGAAGAGCUACCCCCUUGCCUUUCGGUUCCUUUGACCUUUUGGAAUGGGCUGACCUUCUACCACCAGCAUCCACACUCUCAGCAGUGGCGACUUGCUUGCCUUCUCUCUUUUUUGCUGCCAAUACUUGCUGCCUAGAAGUUCCUCCCGGCGUAGAUACUGAGGAUAGAGACUUCCCAUGUCUAGCAGUCUCUUGCCUUGCAAGCUCUUGUUUCUCAGCUUCCAUCUUUUGUUGAUCCUUUCUCCCCAUUUGUACCUGAAAAUUUCAAAUCUUGGAAAAAGAUAAGCAAAUGGAAGAAGGAAACAUUAUAAAUGCAAAUGUGAAUUCAAUUCAUGAUCACUUAGCUAAAGCUAAUUAGCACAAUGCACACAAGUUAUUUAUAGAAAGCUACUAGAGAUGAUCACAAGCAAAGAAUAAGACUUUUAAGCAAAUUUUAAGUGUCAAAUGAGUUCUUCAAGUGGACACUUAUCAAAUGAGGUUCCCAAACAUCUUAACUAACCCAACCUAGCCAAAGUCGUAUGGAAUUAUAGGAAUUUCGAAAAAUCCUCAAUUCUCAUGAACCCUAAUUUUUCAAAGUUCAAAUUUAACUCAAUUUCACCAUAGAAUCAACAACCCAACAUGAAAUAUAAGCUUUCCCUAGUCUAUUUCACAAGUAUCAAGCAAGAGAAGGAUCAAAUUUCAAGUUUAAAUUUCUAGGGUUCAUGGGACCUACGAAAUUGAGCUUUAGGAUACAAUACCUUGUUUUGGAUGAAAGGAAAUGUUGAUGUGAAACAAGAAAAUAGACUACAGGUGCGAAAGCUUUGAUUUAGGAAGAAGAAUGGAUUGAUUUGGUGAAGAAUUGAGUGAGAUAUGGGUGAUUUGGUGAGGGAAGUUUUGAUGUUUUGUGAAAGUGAGAUGAGGGAAACGGGAGAGAGAGAGAUGCGGGGUAGGUGUUUUUAGGGUGUAACUGGGUCGGGUUUAGGGUUAGAAACCAUACCUGAGCGGGUUAGACCCGAGUGACGCGGGUAGAAGUCAACAUCGGAACCCGCGUUGCCCUCCCCGCGCUGACAAUGUCAUCAAACUUGUUCGUCGUGCGAGCGGGUUGCGCACCCCGCGUGACUCCAUCCCACGUCAAGCCAUCAAACUUGUGCGUCGUGCGAGCGGGUUGAGCACCCCGCGUGACUCCACCCCGCGUCAAGACAUCGACGAAGUGACGCGGGUAAGGCAUCCCGCGUGGACUAACCUGCGUUUCAACUGUCUUUUUUUUUUUUUAGUAUGUAUGUACAAGGAUAGACAUGGGACUUCCUCCCAAGUGAGCUUGUUUUAUGUCACUAACUUGACUUUGCUUCCUUUUGGCUAGACGGUGAUGGGGUCGGAGAGUGAAACCGAGAUUCUUUUCUCCUCUAUUGUGGUUCCCAUGUAGAGUUUAACUCUUUGUCCAUUGACUGUAAAGUCUCCACCAUUCUUAUCCCAUAACACAAUUGCCCCAUAUGGCCUAACUUCUUUGAUCUUGAAAGGACCAGACCAUCUUGACUUGAGUUUCCCGGGAAACAACUUCAGUCUAGAGUUGUAGAGAAGCACUUGAUCUACAGCACUGAACUCUCUCUUCAAGAUCUUCUUGUCAUGAAAAGCUUUGGUUUUCUCCUUGUAAAUCUUUGAGUUCUCAAAAGCAUCCAGUCUAAUCUCAUCAAGCUCAUUGAGUUGGAGAAAUCUCUUCUCUUUGGCACUCUUGAUGUCAAAGUUCAAUAAAUUAACAGCCCAUAAUGUCUUGUAUUCAAGCUCAACUGGUAGAUGACAAGCCUUUCCAUACACAAGGUUGAAACGUGUGGUUCAUCUAGCUUGAUAGACCAGUCUUUCCUUGUAGUCCCCACAGUUUUCUCCAAAAUAGACUUAAUUUCUCUGUUGGAGAUCUCAACUUGACCACUUGUCUGAUGAUGGUAGGGAGUUGCAACCUUAUGCUUCACACCAUUCUUCUUGAGAAGACUUUCAAACAGUUUGUUGAUGAAGUGGGAGCCUCCAUCACUGAUGACAACUCUUGGAACUCCAAACCUUGGAAAGAUGGUGCUUUUGAACAUCUUGAUCACCACUCUAGCAUCAUUGGUAGGACUUGCUACAGCUUCUACCCACUUGGAGACAUAGUCAACAGCUACAAGAAUGUAUUUGUUGUCAAAAGAUGAUGGGAAUGGUCCCAUGAAAUCAAUACCCCACACAUCAAACACCUCCACUUCUAGAAUUGGGUUUUGAGGCAUCUCAUUCCUUUUGGUGAUGUUCCCUCUUCUUUGGCAUGAAUCACACCUAGAGACAAAGUCUUGAGUGUCCUUGAACAUAUGAGGCCACCAAAACCCAGCUUGUAACACCUUUGAGACAGUCUUGAAAGUAGCGAAAUGACCUCCAUAAGAUGAUCCAUGACAGUGUGUGAGAAUCCCUUCGACUUCUUCUUCAGCUACUACUCUUCUAUAGAGUUGAUCUCUACAAAGGAUGUAGAGGUAAGGCUCAUCCCAAUAGUAUCACUUCACAUCUUUGUAGAACUUCUUCUUGGCAUAUCCGUCAAGACCCAUUGGCUCUCUUCCACAAGCUAAGUAGUUCACCAGAUCAACAUACCGAAGGACCUUUCUCUUCAGUUGCCUUCACCUCUUCAAGCUUCUUUCCAGUUUCACAAACCGCUACCACUGCUCCAAUUGCCAUGAUCUGUUCCUCUGGAAGCCCUUCAUCAAUAGGGAUCCCACUAUCAAUCUUCAGUCUAGAUAAGUGAUCAGCUACACCAUUCCCGACUCCUGGUUUGUCUCUGAUCUCAAGGUCAAACUCUUGUAGCAGCAAGAUCCACCUCAACAGUCUUGGCUUACCAUCCUUUUUGGCCAUGAGAUGUCUCAACGCAGCAUGAUCAGUGUAGACUAUGACUUUUGACCCAACCAAGUAGCUUCUGAACUUCUCAAAGGCGUAGACAAUGGCUAGAAGUUCCUUCUCAGUUGUAGCAAACUUCAUUUGGGCUUCAUCAAGAGUUUUACUUGCAUAGUAGAUCACAUGAGUCUUCUUGUCCUUCUUUUGACCAAGAAUAGCUCCCACAGCAUAGUCACUAGCAUCACACAUGAUCUCAAAGGGGAGAUCCCAAUCUGGUGGCUGCACAAUGGGAGCACUAACCAGGUUGUCUUUCAACUUCUUGAAUGCUUCCAGACAUUCCCAAUCAAAGUUGAAUACAGCUUCUUUGCAUAAAAGCUUAGUCAUUGGCCUUGCUAUCAUUGAGAAGUCUUGGAUGAAUCUUCUAUAGAAUCCAGCAUGACCAAGGAAGCUUCUAAUGUCCUUAACCGUCUUUGGUGGAGAUAAUCCAAUCAUCACUUCGAUCUUCGCCUUGUCUACCUCAAUCCCCUUUUCUGAAAUUUUGUGUCCAAGCACAAUCCCUUCCUUAACCAUGAAGUGACAUUUCUCCCAAUUCAGACUAAGGUUUGUCUCUUCACAUCUCUUGAGGACCCUGCUAAGAUUGGACAAACAAGCAGAAAACGAAGAUCCGUAGACAGAGAAGUCAUCCAUAAAUACCUCCACAACAUCCUCUAUAAGAUCAGAGAAAAUAGACAUCAUGCAUCUUUGGAAAGUGGCUGGAGCAUUACAUAGCCCAAAUGGCAUCCUUCGAUAAGCAAAGGUACCAUAAGGGCAUGUGAAAGUCAUUUUCUCUUGAUCAUUUGGAUGUAUGGGGAUUUGGAAGAACCAUGAAUACCCAUCAAGAAAACAAUAAUAGGGAUGCUUUGCAAGUCUCUCUAGCAUUUGAUCAAUGAAUUGCAAUGGAAAAUGAUCUUUUCUAGAUGCUGAGUUAAGUUUUCGAUAAUCUAUGCACAUCCUAUGUCCUGUUAUUGUUCUUGUUGGUAUUAGUUCAUCCUUAUCAUUUUUGACCACAGUAAUUCCUCCCUUCUUUGGGACAACAUGCACAGGAGACACCCAUUUGCUAUCUGAAAUAGGAUAUAUUACUCCUGCAUCUAAGAGUUUCAGAAUCUCUUUCUUAACAACAUUUUUCAAGUUGGGAUUCAACCUUCUUUGAUGUUCUAUAGAAGUCAUAGAUUCAUCAUCUAGAUGUAUCCUAUGCAUGCACAAAGAAGGUGAUAUCCCUUUAAUAUCAUCUAGUGAGUAUCCUAUUGCCUUUCUAUACCUUUUAAGUUCAUUCAAAAGUUUAGACAGUUCAUCUUCACUAAGCUCACUACUCACUAUGACAGGGUAAGUUUCAUUAGGGCCAAGGAAAGCGUACCCUACACCAUGGGUAAGAGGUUUAAGCUCCACUUUUGGUGCCUUGAGUUCACUCCAAUCAUCCUCUUGGAGGUUCUCUUGUUGAGUGGCCGAGGAAGCAUGGUGAGCCCCAUAUGUAAGCUCCUCAUUCUGACCUUCACCACUAAUCCCCUUGUGAGAAUCCAGCAUUUUCACAUCGGCAUCACUUUCUUUGUUCUCAAUCACUUGGACUUCUCUCUCAAUUGUUAAAGCAUGCUGUAGAGAGUCUUUAAGUGCCAACUCUUCUAGAAGCUCAUCAGCUAGAGCAUCAAUUUCAUCAAUGUAGAAAACUUGGUUCUGGAUGGUUGGCUUCUUCAUCACUUCAUUGAUGUCAAAGUGGAGAAUGUUCCCUUGUCCAAGAUGAAGAACAAUCUUUCUUUGUCUAAUAUUCACAAUAGCUCUUGUUGUGGCUAAGAAUGGUCUUCCAAGGAUCAAAGGGUCUUGGGCUUCAUCCCCCAUCUCCAACACAACAAAAUCAGUAGGGAUCUCAAAGUUACCAACCAUCAGGGGAAGGUCUUCAAAAAUACCAACAGGAAUCUUCACUGAUCUAUCAGCCAACACCAAAGAAAGUUUACACUUCUUGUAUUGAGUAAAUCCAAGCUUCUUUGCAAUAGACAAAGGCAUCAAGCUGACACUAGCCCCAAGAUUGCAAAGACACCGUUCAAAUACCAUGGGUCCUAGAGCACAAGGUAAGGUGAAACAUCCUAGAUCCACUAGCUUCCUUGGAACAUCUAACCUCUGGAUAAUGGCACUGCACUCGUGGGUAAGGAUCAUGAUAUCUUGCAUAUUUACAUUGUUUUAUCCAUUCACCCAUGCGCAUUUUGAUCAUAUAGACUAGGAUUUAGCCAUGUUUAGGUUGCAUUUUGCAUACAUGAGUCUUUAUCAGGUAUUGGAGUACCACAUAGAGUUCUUGGAGACAUUUGGGUGCGUUUGGAGCUCAAAAAAGGUGAUUAAGGUGAUCAUUGGACGAGCAAUGCAUGGGAGCGACCUACCGGAGCGAUGCCAUGAACUCGUUCGCCAUUUACGCUUCGGAGCGACCUCCUAGAGCGACAAGGCGAAGUCGCUCCAGCUCCUGAAGCGACCUCACCACAGCGACACCCAGAGGUCGCUCGGGUUGUGUCGAUUUGAGAGCGACGAACAAGCCGGGAGCGACCUCCUAGAGCGACACCCUAAGGUCGCUCGCGUCUAUGGUUUCUGAGCAAGCCCGGAGCGACGUCUUCAGAGCGACACAGCCAGGUUGCUCGCAAAGAAACGACCCGGGAGCGACGUCUUUGGAGCGACACAGCCAGGUCGCUCGCGAAGAAACAACCCGGGAGCGACCUCUCGCAGCGACGAGCCGAGGUCGCGCCGCGUCUAUUUGUUUGGCCGAAUUCAUGUUUUCUCAAGGGCCUUUUGGUCAUUUCAUUAUGCACGUUUUUACUUUUCAAAGCCUAUGUUUUUAAGUACCGUUUUGGUAACCACCAAAAAGACAAUCUCUUUUCUGGAGAGAACAACUAAUAAAACUUCUUUUGAUUGAGAUUUCAUUGCUUGGAUCUUGUGUUCUUGUUGAUUUCUUAUCUAUUUCUCUACAUGAUUAAUCUGAAAUCCACCAUGGGUUUAAGAGGAAUCAUGGAGAUUAGUGAGUAAUCACCUUUUGAAUUCAUGGGUUAGGGAGAUCAAGGGUGAUUAGGUUAGUUCUAGGAUGUUUAAGUGUAGAUCAUUCUUGUUCCUUGCUAGUAGAGUAUUCAUAAUGCAUCUUCUGAGNNNNNNNNNNNNNNNNNNNNNNNNNNNNNNNNNNNNNNNNNNNNNNNNNNNNNNNNNNNNNNNNNNNNNNNNNNNNNNNNNNNNNNNNNNNNNNNNNNNNNNNNNNNNNNNNNNNNNNNNNNNNNNNNNNNNNNNNNNNNNNNNNNNNNNNNNNNNNNNNNNNNNNNNNNNNNNNNNNNNNNNNNNNNNNNNNNNNNNNNNNNNNNNNNNNNNNNNNNNNNNNNNNNNNNNNNNNNNNNNNNNNNNNNNNNNNNNNNNNNNNNNNNNNNNNNNNNNNNNNNNNNNNNNNNNNNNNNNNNNNNNNNNNNNNNNUCUAAUCCCUAUACCCAUGAGUUCUCUUUUCCCUUAGUCAAGAAAGUAUCAUUCUGUAAUUGCUUUCUAGUAUUAGUAGUAGCUUAAAACUCAUCUAAAUCAUUGGUUGCACUUAGAUUAAGUGAGUACUUGCAUUCUCAUUGCUUUGAUAUCCCUGAGAACUGGUUCGACAUUCACUAUACUACAACAUUUGUCUUAGGAGCCUUGAAAACUCAUAACAUCAAAUUGGCGCCGUUGCCAAAUUCUGAGUAGAUUUAAACAUUGAGAUUUAGUCACUUGCUUGAGACUAAGUCAUUUUAAUUUUGUUUUGUUACUGAUUCUUCUUCUUCACCUACCUUUCACUUUCAGGUGUAUGAACUUGAGGAGCAGGGGUCCAUCAAACCUAGUUCCAAUAGUAUCAGACAUCAGAGCUUUUAAGAGGGAGUGUGCUAGAGCUAGAAGAGAAGAAGAACAACAAGCCCACUUGCAGAGAUUCGAUAUUGAUAUGGAAGAUCAACCGCAAGGGGCAGAACACCAACCGCGGGCAGCUCGACCCAUUGGUACUUAUGACCGGCCCAACAUUCAUGGUCAUAGACUGGGAAUCCGAGCACCAGCUGUGGCAGCCAACAACUUUGAGGUCAAGUCAGGACUCCUCAACGUGAUCGAGGACAACAAGUAUCAUGGCUUGGCUCUAGAGGACCCAUUUGAUCACUUGGACAAGUUCGAUAGCUACUGGGGGUUGUCAAAAACCAAUGGUGUGUCCGAAGAUGCCUUAAAACUCAAGCUAUUCCCUUUCUCUUUGGAGGAUAAGGCACAUCAGUGGGAGAAGUCUCUACCCAGUGACUCUAUCACCACUUGGGAUGAUUGCAAGAGAGCAUUCUUGGAGAAGUUCUUCUCUACUUCAAGAACUGCUAAGCUGAGAAAUGAGAUUUUCAGCUUUCAACAGAAGAACUUGGAAGGCUUCAGUGAAGCCUGGGAGAGAUUCAAGGGCUACCAAGCUCAAUGCCCACACCAUGGUUUCUCUAAGGAGAGCUUGCUGAGCACAUUCUACCGUGGUGCUCUUCCUAAGUACAGGGCCAGACUGGAUACAGCUAGCAAUGGGUUCUUCUUGGGAAGAACUAAGGAAGAUGCAGAGGAGCUGGUUGACAACAUGGUAAAGAGUGAUGCAGUCUACAGUGGAGACCACGACAGAGGCAGUCGAACAGAUGAUAAGCAGACGAGGAAGGAGUUGAAAGCUCUACAGGAUAAGAUAGACAUCCUCCUUGCUGAUAAAGCCACACAAGAGCAGCUGCACUUUGUUGGUAACCCAAGCCAAGAGACACCACCUGUUGUCCAUGAGGUUGAGGGGUUUGGAAGGUCAGGAGGAGCUGUGUUUCAUCAACAAAAAUGGUAGCUGGUACAAAAAAGAGCCCAACUUUCAGUACAACAACUACCAACAGAAAUCCUAUCCCAACAACCAACAGAGUGGUUAUCCGCCUCGAAACAACCAGCAAGGCAGCUAUCAAUCUCAGCAAAACCCCUCAUUUGGUUCGUCUGCUCCUCAAGAGAGCAGCACUUGNNNNNNNNNNNNNNNNNNNNNNNNNNNNNNNNNNNNNNNNNNNNNNNNNNNNCCUGCUGAAACAAAUCUUGGAGUCUCAGACUAGAAGUGAGAAGCAUGUUGGUUAUGAGUUGAAGAACCUUCAUUCCAAGAUUGAUGGGAGCUACAAUGAGCUCAACUCAUUCCCCAUAGAAGGUAACCCACUACUUUUCCUUGUAUAAACCAUUUUGUUUUUGCAUAUUAGUUUUCUCUUUUUGGGUAUCUCUCUCUCCUUGACAACACAGAGACUGUGUCAUUUAAGUUUGGGGGAGGUACCAAGUAUUUGAUCAUGUUUGCUUUGAUGUUGUUUCAUUGAGUCAUGCAUUGCAUACCUAUUUGCAUUAAAAAAAAUUCAUUUAGUUUGCAUCAUUUGCAUUUCUAGGAGAGUCUAGAGCAUAUAGGUUGCAUUUACUUGCAUUGGGAGCAAUGAUUUGAAAUGCUUUGUAAAGAACAUUACUUUGCACCUGAGUAGCUUAUGCACCUCUCAAAAAGACUUGUAUGCUUCGAGCCUUGAAAACUCUUCUUGAAACUUGUUGAUUGCUGAAACUCAGUCUUUGAAGACAACUACAACCUUGUUUGGACUGAAUGAACUUAAUGCUUCUUGCUUAUGGUCCCUUGUGUACUGAGUCAUGGAUAUACACACUUGAGUUGUCACAUCUUUUAUGCCAAUAUUUUUGACAAACUCGAGUGGUACACCAUUCCCAAAACCCUUCCCUCUUUUUGAGCUUUCAUUAUUUGAUGAGUGAGGCCUUUUUCGGAAAGCCUUACAUGUGCAUAAUGUUGAGAGUAUCGGGAACGACAAUGCUUGAUCUUCAUUCUUGCUAGAUUAGGCACAUUAUUGUCUAGCCAUGGGAUGGGGGUGAGUGUUGUAAAGUUUGAUUUGGGAGUAUGAGAAAGUAGAAGGAAAAGAGUGAACUUUUGUGCUUAAUUGACUAGUCUUUAUGGGAUAAGUAGAGAAACUUCUAGCUCAAUUUGUGAAAAGUCUUGGCCCCCAACCAUUAAAAAAAAAAAAAAAAAAAAAAAAAAAAAAAAAAANNNNNNNNNNNNNNNNNNNNCCCCCACCACAAAAAAAAAAAAAAAAAAAAAGAGAAAGAAUAAAGAAAAGGGGGCUAGCAAAAUUAGUAUGAGCUAAGAGGUGUUCAAAAAGUGUAAGAAAUCCCAUGUAAAAAAAAAAAAAGAGUUUUAUGUUGGGAAAUGCUUUUGAAGUCUUUUGGUGAGAGAUGGGAGUUGGGUUUGACAUUGGGAAGUGAUUGUGUAACCUGUAUGUUGGGGAAAAGGGUAGAACAAUGGAGAUUGAGCAUUGUAUGCAUGAGUUGGUCCCUUUCUUAGAUAUAUUAUGUGCAAUGUCAAGGCUACUUGUUUUGAGAGUAAACCACUUUAAAAGAUCAUGGAUUUUGAACCUCUUGACCCACUUGAAUAAAAGCCUUCCCUUACUCAACCAAAUGAUUUGGACCAAUUGACCAUUUGCAAGAAUUCACUUGAUGUUAUGCUUAAUGAACUUGAGAGUUGGCUGAUUUGCAUGUGUGAAUGCAUGAUGAUGAGUGUAGGGAUGAAAAGAGUUGAGAUAUGCCUAGAGAAGCUAAAGUAUAAUGAGAGAGGGUGUACGAAUGCUGAAUUUAGAUGUUGAUUUGAGUGCUUUGUGUGUUCCUUUUGGCUAUGAGCUCCCACCUUAAAACCUCUCUCCCUAUGAGUUCUAGAAAGUUCACUUGAGGACAAGUAAAAGAAUAAGUUUGGGGGAGUGAUAUCUUGCAUAUUUACAUUGUUUUAUCCAUUCACCCAUGCGCAUUUUGAUCAUAUAGACUAGGAUUUAGCCAUGUUUAGGUUGCAUUUUGCAUACAUGAGUCUUUAUCAGGUAUUGGAGUACCACAUAGAGUUCUUAGAGACAUUUGGGUGCGUUUGGAGCUCAAAAGAGGUGAUUAAGGUGAUCAUUGGACGAGCGAUGCAUGGGAGCGACCUACCGGAGCGACGCCAUGAACUCACUCGCCAUUUACGGUUCGGAGCAACCUCAUAGAGCGACAAGGCGAAGUCGCUCCAGCUCCUAGAGCGACCUCACCACAGCGACACCCAGAGGUCGCUCGGGUUGUGUCGAUUUGAGAGCGACGAACAAGCCGGGAGCGACCUCCUAGAGCGACACCCUAAGGUCGCUCGCGUCUAUGGUUUCUGAGCAAGCCCGGAGCGACGUCUUCAGAGCGACACAGCCAGGUCACUCGCAAAGAAACGACCUGGGAGCGACGUCUUCGGAGCGACACAGCCAGGUCACUCGCGAAGAAACGACCCGGGAGCGACCUCUCGCAGCGACGAGCCGAGGUCGCUCCGCGUCUAUUUGUUUGGCCGAAUUCAUGUUUUCUCAAGGGCCUUUUGGUCAUUUCAUUAUGCACGUUUUUACUUUUCAAAACCUAUGUUUUUAAGUACCUUUUUGGUAGCCACCAAAAAGACAAUCUCUUUUCUGGAGAGAACAACUAAUAAAACUUCUUUUGAUUGAGAUUUCAUUGCUUGGAUCUUGUGUUCUUGUUGAUUUCUUAUCUAUUUCUCUACAUGAUUAAUCUGAAAUCCACCAUGGGUUUAAGAGGAAUCAUGGAGAUUAGUGAGUAAUCACCUUUUGAAUUCAUGGGUUAGGGAGAUCAAGAGUGAUUAGGUUAGUUCUAGGAUGUUUUAGUGUAGAUCAUUCUUGUUCCUUGCUAGUAGAGUAUUCAUAAUGCAUCUUCUGAGUUGGCCACUCAAAAGUUGAUCUUUAGGCAUUUCCCACCCACAAGGUGUUUGAUGAAAUGCCUGAGACAACUCUCCUAAGCUUUUAACAUACUUUACCAAAGACAUUUGUUGUUAAAGGUGUUAAGAUAGCCAAUAGACUUGUUAGUAAUGAUUGCUUUCAUAUUAUUCAACCAAAGAUAUUUGAUGUUUGAGAUAUGUUAGUAAAUGAACAUUCAUCUAGACAUAGAGUUUGUUUAAGAUUGUGUCUAAGCUUAAGGUUGAUAGUUUGAUUGAUCGUUUGCCAUCCUUAGUUCGAAACUUGAUCACCCAAGGUCUAAUCCCUAUACCCAUGAGUUCUCUUUUCCCUUAGUCAAGAAAGUAUCAUUCUUGCUUUCUAGUAUUAGUAGUAGUUUAAAACUCAUCUAAAUCAUUGGUUGCACUUAGAUUAAGUGAGUACUUGCAUUCUCAUUGCUUUGAUAUCCCUCAGAACUGGUUCAACAUUCACUAUACUACAAAAUUUGUCUUAGGAGCCUUGAAAACUCCUAACAUCAGAUCAUCAUGCCCUCCAUCUCUUUCUUCUUUGCAGCUACAGCAUCUUUCAAGAAUUUGCUGUAUUGAGGAACCAGCAUAAAAGCAUCAAUGAUGGGCAUUGUGACCUGAACUUCACUCAUUUGUUUCUCAAAGAGUGCCUUGUAUUUCUCCAAUAGCUGUCUUUUGAAUCUUCCAGGGAAUGGUAGCUUUGGCUCAUAGGGAGGAGGAACAAAAGAGGAGUCCUUUGUUGGAGUAGCAGUUUCACCAUGUUUCACUGUCUUUUUCUCUUCUCCAACCUUUCAUUUACCCUUAGCUUCAACAAUCUUUUCUAGAAUUUCUUCAUCAACCUUCUCAUCUACAAUCACCACUUCAUCAUCAAUGUUGAUAGCUACCUCCCCACCUUGCUUUUCACCAUCCUUGGUGAGAAUUCUUGGAGAUAACUGUUUACCACUCCGUAGGGUGAUUGCUUUCAUAGUUUCCUUGGGAUUUUGCUCUGGCUUUCCAGGUAAUGCCCCUUGUUGGCGACUUGGUUGAGAAUUCAUUGAAGCAAACUGGUUCUCCAAAUGUCUGAUCUUGUUGUUGAGCUCAUUGUAGCUUCCAUCAAUCUUGGAGUGAAUGUUCUUGAGCUCAUACCCCAUUGUCUUCUCAUUCUUUGCCUGAAAAUCCAAGAAUUUCUUGAACAUUGCAUCCACACUUGUAUCUGAAGCUGGAGCUUGGGAAGAACAUCCUUGAGCCUGAGUAGACUGAUUGUUGUUAUUGUUGAAACCAAGAGGGUUGUUUUGUCUAGGUUGAUAGCUCCCUUGCUGAGUGUUUUGCUUCUGUUGGUACCCUCUUUGCUGGUUGUUAGAGUAGGAUCUUUGUUGGUAGUUGUUGUACUGAAAGUUAGGCUACUUCCUGUACCAAGAACCAUUGUUGUUGAUGAAGCAUAGCUCUUCUUGGCCUUCCAAACCAUCAACCUCAUUGAUCUUGGGAGGAACCUCUUGAUUAGGACCACCCACAAAGUUCAUCUGCUCUUGCUUAGCUUGGUUGAAAAGAAGCAAAUCCAUCUUCUCUUGCAAGGACUUGAUCUCUUUCUUUGUCUGCUGAUCAUCACUUCUGUUGACCCUAUCAUGCUUCUCACUGUAGACCGAGUCACUCCUAACCAUGUUCUCUACUAGUUCCUCUGCCUCUUCCUCGGUUCUCCCCAAGAAGAAACCAUUGCUAGCAGUGUCAAGCCUGUUUCUGCACUGUGGUAGAGCUCCUCUGUAGAAGGUGCUAAGCAAACUUUCCUUGCUGAAACCAUGAUGAGGGCAUUGAGACCAAUAGCCCUUGAACCUCUCCCAUGCUUCACUGAAACUCUCUAGACCUUUCUGUUGAAACCCAGAGAUUUCGUUCCUGAUCUUAGAUGUCCUUGAAGUAGAGAAGAACUUGUCUAGGAAGGCUCUCUUACACUCUUCCCAAGUGGUGAUAGUGUCACUUGGAAGAGUCUUCUCCCAUUGGUGUGCCUUGUCUCCCAAAGAGAAAGGGAACAGCUUCAACUUGAAGGCAUCUUCAGAAACACCAUUUGUCUUAGACAAGCCACAAUACUUAUCAAACUUGUACAAGUGAUCAAAAGGGUCUUCAGCAGCAAGACCAUGAUACUUGUUGUUCUCUAUGGUGUUGAGCAGCCCUGACUUGAUCUCGAAGUUGUUGUUCUCCACUGGUGGUGCUCUGAUUCCUAACCUAUGACCAUUAAUGUGAGGUUGAUCAUAGGCUCCAAUGGCGCGAGCUUGUCGCGGUGGAUGUUGUGGCUGGCGAUGUGGUCGAAGGUGAUCAGCUAUUGGAUCAAUGCCUCCUUGGGCAUCACCAGCUUGAGGCAGAUUCUCCAUAUCAAACCUCAACCUUUGCAAAUGAGCUUGUUGCUCUACUUCUCUUCUUUGUCUUGCAAUCUCCCUCUCAAGUGCUCUAAUGUCUUCAACUCUUGGAACUAGGUUUGUUGGACCUAUGCUCCUUGUGUUCAUACACCUGAAAUCCCAAGGGAGAAAAAAGAAAGAAAGGCAAUAACACAAUUAAACAAAAAUUGACUUAGUCUCAAGCAAAUGACUAAAUCUCAAUGUCACAAUCAACUUAGAAUUUGGCAACGGCGCCAAUUUGAUGAUAGGAGUUUCAAGGCUCCUAAUCAAAUGUUGUAGAAUAAAGGAUGUCAAACCAGUUCUAAGUGAUUCUAAAGCAAAGGGAAUGCAAGACCAUGCUUAAUCUAAGUGUUAUCAAUUGGUGAGAUGAUUUUUGAACUAGAAUGAUACUAAAAUGCAAUAAAGGACAAAGCUUUCUUUCUUAUUAGAUAAGAGAACUCAUGGGCUAAAGGAAUUGACCUUGGGUGAUCAAGUUUCAAUCUAAAGAUGUUAACUUUCAACCAAUCUAUCUACCUUAGACCUAGACACCAUCCUAAACAAACUCUAUCUCUAGAUGAAUGUUCAUUUACUAAUAUAACUCAAGCAUCAAAUCUCUUUGGUUGAAUGUUAUCUAAGUAAUCAUUAAUCUCAAGUCUACUAGUCAUCUUAACACCUUUAACAACAAAUCUCUUUGGUAAAUAAUGUUAAAAGCUUAGGAGAGUUGAUUCAGGCAUUUCAUCAAACACCUUUCAGGCAUGAAAUGCCUAGAGCUCAACUUUAGAGAGGCCAACUCUAGAGUUGCAUUAAAAGCACUCUACUAGCAAGGAACAAGAUAGAUUUAUACUAAAACACCUUAGAUCUAGCUUAAUCACCCUUAGUCUCCCUAACCCAUGAAUCCAAAGAUGACUACUCACUACUCUUCAUAAUGAGCCCAAGAAUCAAUGAUGAUUUGGUGCUAAUCAUGAUUAGUGAUCCCAAUAAUCAAACAAUCACAAGAGAAAAUGAUCAAGAUAAGAUCUUUCACCUAAAAGUUCUUUUUGAUUAGAUAGAGAAAACAAGAUGAUCCCCCAACUUUGGGAUUACAAGAGUAUUUAUAUCUCUUUGGUAAACCUAAUGGUUUCCAUUAAAAAGUCUAAAAAGCCCUUAAAAACAUUAAAAUUUGACUUAGGAUAAAUAUCGACUCGGGUUGGAGCGACUGGGCAUACCCCGCGUCACACCACCCGCGUCGGAUGGUUGUCGAUCUUCUCCGUCAUGCGCACGGGUAGUGGAACCCGCGGCCUUCGUCCCGCGUCAGACCGUCAAAGCUGCUCUCUCGUCAUGCGCGCGGGUAGUCGAUCCCGCGUGGCUCCGUCCCGCGUGACUCCUCGGUUCCUUCUCUUCGUGACGCGGGUUGAGACGAUCGACACCAACCCGCGUCAUCUUCCCCGCGCUGGAUUUUCGAUGAUUCUUCUAGCUCGUGCAAGCGGGUACUCGACCCCGCGUGAUCCAAGCCCCGUUGGAGUUCUUCAUUCUGUUCUUCUCGACGCCUCGACGCGGGAAAGAGAACCCGUGUUGGCUCAACCCGAGUUGUGCUCGCUUGAACUCGAACUAACAUCAUUUUUCGUCUCUUCUUGAGCCAUAAUGCUUUUAAACACUUCCAAUUACUCCAUAGGACACUCCACUACCUGAUUAGGACAUAUGAAUGCAAUAUGGAUUCUAAAGAUGCUAAAUUCCUAAUCUAUAUGAUCAUUAUGUGUGAAAUGAGGACUUAAAACAAUGCAAAUAUGCAAGAUAUCACGGAUCCAAAUGACCGAACUUUUUCCGGAUAUUUUCCGGCUCCUACAUUUACUAUCCGAACCGAACCGAAUCCGAAACUAUCUGAACCGAACCGAACCGAAAAUAGGUCAAGUACUUAAUGGAUCCUCUAGCCUCUAUCUGAACUACCCGAAACCCGAAAUACCCGAACCGAACCGAACCGAUACCCGAAAUGCCCAGGCCUACAUGACUUGAAUAUUCUACAUUCAAAUUAUAGGUAUGGCGAAGCUAUACAUUUCUUUCAUGCAAGAGUAUGUAAGAGUAGUAGAGUACUAACUACUAGCAGUUGAGAUUUCGAAUUACGAAUAAAGAUCCUUUUGGGCUUGUAAAUUCUUCAAUUUCCUCAAUCAUUGACUUUAUGAGGACUCGUAUGAAUUGAAAACAUUUGUUGAUUUGUGAAUUAUUCUCAUUAAUUUAAGUUCAUACUAAAAAUGGGAAUAAAAGACUUGUGAAUCGGAAUGAAAAGUCAUGAUGAUAGCAACUAGCAGAUGUGGGGAUGUGCACGUUCGAAAUCGGCCUCCUUUGCCUCCAUCAAGAAAGGUAAACUAGGCUCUAACUCAUUUAUUUAACCUCCCAAUUGAUUGGUGUGAUUUGAGUAUUAGUCAGUAGUCACUACUACCCAAUAUAUUUUUCAACUGUACUUAAUGCUCUUUCCGUUCCACAAAAAUAGAUUUUUUUAGUAUUUUUACACAUAUUAAGAAGACACAUUAAACUACCAUAAUAAAUGUAUCAUUUUCUGUAAUUUUCGAUUUUCAAUAACUUUUAACCAAUAUUAAUUCAAUAAAAUCAAUUAAUUUUCUUGAAAUUUAUGAUUUUUUCAUAGAAAACAAAAAAAUAUAUCUUUCUGAAACAAACUUUUUUCUAAAAAAUAUCAUUAAAGAACGGAAUGAGUAUUUACUAAUAUUUGUCCACUUCACAGAGCCACAGCCACAGUGCCGUGUAUACUAUCUCUAAUUCAUUUACUUAACCUCCAUUAAGAAAAGUAAACUAUCUCUAAUUCAUUUGUUUAACCUCCCAAGUGAUUAGUGUAAUUGAGUAUUAGUUAGCAGUCACUGUCCAGCACAUUUUCAAUUGUAUUUUGACUACUAGGGGUAUAAGUAUAACCCGCGCAAGCGCGGAGCCGGAUAAGUUAUUGAUCGUUGUGUAGUUUUGUGUACGGGAUUUUGUCGUUUAUUUUUUUCCACUUUUGUUUUUCCGUGUUGUAUAUAAUGGUGAUGAACAUAACAUUUGGAAGUCACGCAGUUUGAUUAAGUUGAUAUAAGAAUGACCGGCGAAUUCAUAUGCAUUAUUUUCGUAAUGAUUUGAUCGACCAUUAGCGUUAUUAGCGCUUUCAUGUCAAAAGAUAAAGUUUAUGAAGUUGUUUAGUAUUUACUUAGGUAGUUGUUAGUAUAUAAAACAAAUAGUGUAAGGAACAAAAUAUAAAAUUUGAAUUCAAAAAAUUAAACAAUUUAUCGAACAAUAAAUUAAAUUAUUUAUUCAUUUUACCUAAAUUAAUUUCAAAAAUAUAGAACUGUAAUAAACUAUUUUUUAAAAAGAAUUAAUAACUCUAGAAAAAUUUAUAAAAUUAUACGGUUGCAAAAUUAUUUGUUUUUAGAGUUUUACUCGACUUUGUUAAAAAUAGUUUAUGGUGGACAAAAAAAAUGUCAGAAAUAGGUAAACCAAAAAAAUACACCAUUGACAAAUCUUGUAUGAGUUAGAACCCGUCGACGUUUCAUUAAUAAUCCAAAAUAGAAAUAAAAUCUCCGAACAGAAAAAACAUGCAAGGGAAAAAAUAUCCAAAGUUUAUGAUGGAAAACAAAGAUAAUAGCAGUUUUUAAAAAUGCAUAGAAAAGUCGUUGACGGGCUGAUAGGAAUAUAAUAUAUAUUUCCAAUCACUCACGGCAGCGCUUGCGGUUUUUCUGAGCGUCUGAAAUCUCUGGAGGAUAUGCUGCAGCACAUUCCUCAUCGACCUUGUCUCCCAAAACAGACGGGUCCGAUGAUGCUGCCAAUCCUACGUCACCUUCACUGCUUGGAAGAAUGUUAUCACUGUGCUCCUGAAAUACAUGAACGUGAUGACAAGUAAAAUUAGACAACCUUGCCAUGGUUCUCUAUGAUGGUAUCUUCAGUGAUGGUGGAGAGAGUGAUGGUACGGUGAUUGCUAUUAAUGGCUUCCAUCAAUUUGAGAGCUCUCCAUGUUUUGGGCUGGAUCUUAGCAAGUAGCUAUGAAUACAUCAAACACUAUGUUGCUGGCAUGAGAUUUGAACCGACCUAGAGAUCCUGCAACAACAUAGACGGUGAGGUUCUUGAGUAUAUUGAGCUCCACCAAGCCAGACACACUCGUUUUCAACACCUUGUUCCCUAUCUCUCUUCUAAUUACUGCCAUGUCCCUCGAUGCAGUUCACCGCAGCAGGUUUGUUAAUGUCGGAGAAGAAGUUAUCUGACCAAUAAAUUUCAAGUUUUUAAGUCUCAAGAUGACACUAAGCUAAAAUGCAUUGUUUUAAAAUCAAACCAAUAACAUACAAAAUGAACUCACCAGAGAUUACGAUCACAUCCAUGUCAGGGGAAUCAUCGCUGAGGAACUCAAUAACAUUAUGCACACCUUUGGUUACCAUGUCCAUCCCCAUUGCACCACACCGGUAUUACAACUGAACCAUACAUAGCCAUUUUUUCCCUGCCAAUGUACAGUGAACAGUUUGUAGCCUCGUAAAUCUAAUUGACAUGCAUCCACAAAAUCAUUAUUUCAUCAGCAAAAGUUUCAAUCUUGAGCCGAACCACACCACAAACAUAAAAAAAUUUACAUCUUGGUGGUACCUGUUGAAAAUGACAGCCGACGUUUCGAAGUGAUCUGGAUUCUCCUAGGAAGGCUUAAGUUCCAUAGCACGUUGGCACGACAAAAACCGGACAAUAGGCUCUCUAGUUGUACCGUCCUUCAGCUCCGCCUGAGACGUACCCAGCCUUGCAGCCUUUGUUAGUCCUAGCAACCAAAUAACUUUCCGUCAUAGCCCAUCAGAACAGAGUUUACAUCAUAUUAGUUAAUCGGACAACUUCAAAACGAUCAAUCAACUUUCACGAUCGACCCCCUAUCGUAGCGAUGGAUGGUAGUGAUUCACACGAACUGGGAUAGAACCAUGGAUCUCGGAAUUCUGCCCAGAGAAACAUACGCUUAAAGUAUUAAAACUGAUAGCUUGAAUAUUGAUUAAACAUAUAUGGUAUAUAGUAUUCCAUAGAAAGUCAAAUUGUCAAUACCUUUUCCUGGGUACUAUGUUCUAGGCGGAGAAAGGUGGCGGGGACAACGACCGAUUAAGCAACAACAACACUGGAGGUUAACAUCUUCGAAAGUUGGCUAAAAGCUGCGACAGUUCAAUUUAGGAGUAAUUUAAUAAGAGAUAUGGGUCUCAAGGUUUGUUUGAGCAAUUAUAUAUACUGAGACGGAUUGAUUCAGAGGUGAAACGGUACCAUAACUGAUCGUUGGAGAUAUAGAGAGGUGAAGAUGAAAAGUUUCAGAAUUUUUUUUGAUAAGCUAAAAGGGUAACGCUUCGGUUUAUCGGUGGAGACAGAGUACUAUAAAAAUCUUAGAUACAUACAAAAGAGAUUUAGCCCACUUAUAAGUUUUAUUGGGCCAGAAUGCGGAUUUUACUAAAUAGGUUUCGAUGAUCAAAGUUACACGUGAGUAUUGAAACAUUACAGUUAUGUGUGGGAUCCACUAUAAGAAAUCCUUUAUAAAUAUAUAUUAGUUUCGGUAAUCCAAGUACAAAGUAUCCUUUAGUUUAGUGGUAUAAAUGUUAGUGUUUAUAACAUAGUAACCCGGGUUCGAACCAUAGACUUGACAUUUUUUCACACUUUUUAAAAGUGGGGUCCACUUAUCUGUUGACGUGUCGCAUCAGGAGUGAUGAAACUGGCUCAUUAUAAUGUUGAUUUUCUAAUAUUUGUCCAUCUGACAGACCCACAGUGCAUUAUCGCAGCAUCGAUAAGACCACCAUCAAUGGGGUGCUUAACAACUUAAAAAAAAAUGAAAAAGGGAAAGCAUCGACGUUUAAACAAGCACAAUAAGCACCGUAUCUUAGAGGAACGUGGCGUGCUGCCAUUGAGCAGCUUUUUUUUUUCUCAAACACUUUUUUUUCUUCGGAAACACUGUUUUUAUGACCAAAAUAAUACCCAAAUAUGAAAAUGACCUAACUAGCACCAAUUGUUUUUUCUGAAAAUGACCAAAAUGACACUUAAAUACUGUUUUUAUGACUAAAAUGACAUCCAAAUAUAAAAAUGACCUAACUAGCACCAUUUUUUAAAAAAAAUGACCAAAAUGACACCAAAAGAUGAAAAAGAAAAAAUCUAUGUUUCUAUUUUAGAAUUUAUGUUUAAAUGUUUCUUUUUUAUGUUUUAUUUAAUAAAUAAAAUGCAUCUUUCAAAAAUUAAUAUUUUAAUUUUUUUUUAAGAACUCCAAAAUAAGAACUUCCCAUUGGAGCACGAAAAUGUUCAGGAUAUUUAGCGCUGCAUCUUAAAUCACUUUUACAACUUAAAAUUAUUAGAAAAAGAAUAAACACCUCUAUUUGGGGUUUUGGGUCAACGGUGCUCUAAGCUGUGGUCACUAUUUUACCAUAUGUGCAUAAAAUAAUGCCAAGAAUAGUAUGUUCUGUUACACCAAUCUGAAUACAAUAAAAGGGCCAUCGUAGUCUGUGGUUAAAUUUAAAGACUCUCCAGAAUGAAAACCAAAAGAUAAUAAACCAAGGGAAUUCAAUUCAUCUACGUUUGUAAAAACUUUAUUGCUCUUUAUUAUUGAAAUUUUGUGUUCGUUCAAUCGUUUUUUUUCUUCUUAAAUUGAUGAUUUUUUUUUGAAAGUAGCUUUUUAUUUUUCGACAUAAACAAAAUUUUUGUCACUGUUAUUAGAGUGAGAAUCAGGAAAGAUCUCGGCCAUAUAUCUAUCUGUUGGGAAUGUCCUAAAAUCAUUUGUACUUACUCUUGUUUAAGUCGUAAAUCGAGGUUCGACAAUCGAUCGUAUAAAAUUAGGUGGUUAUAAUGUUUUGCUAGAAACCGCUUAUAAUCUAUAGAUUGAGAAUCUAUUACUAAUUUUAUAUGAUCCUACAGGGUCACACACCUAAGCAAAUUGAAUCAAUAAUAUAUAUUGGAAUUAUGGGAAUGAAAUAUCAUAAUGUAUAUAUAUAUGUGUUUUAUAUGAUAUAACGAUAUAUGUAUACAUAAUCUCUUUCACGUCACAUUGUCUACAUGGGCUUGGCCCACAUUCCUAAUUAAGAGAAUUAGAUUAAUGACAUUUGUUAUAAAACGUGAGACGUGAACAUAACAAAAGGUUGAGACAAAACCCUAUAAAUCCAAGAGAGCCACAAAAGAGUUUGUCAAGGUUUUGACAUCUUAUCUCGACGGCACUAGCAUCCCGUUCUGAUCCAGUUUGUGUGUGUGUGGAUACCGGUGGAGACACGACGUUUGGAAUGCUUAAAAUCUCGACUUGGUUUAUUCAUCUUUCCACUGCGAAUAACCAAAUAUAUUCGGAACCCUAAAAUCUAUAUUCAUUUCAGGAUUUGCAUGAGAUCUAGGCAAACUAAAUUCAUAAGUUAAUUUAUAAAUCGUUAUAAACCGGUAUGAAUUCCAACAGUGGUAUCAGAGUCUACUUGUUUAAUACUGAAAUUGUUAUUGUUUGAACUUGAUAUGUUAGCUUGUUAAUAGAAACCCUAAUUUGAUUAUGGUAUAUUACGGUAUAAUGAUAUUGAUUUAUAACUAGAACCGGCAUGUCAAGUUAAACAAUUAGAACAUCUGAACGUCCAUAUGAGACACACGCUUUGGUUGAAGUGCCUUUAAAACUAAUGGGCUUAUGUUCAGAAUAAGAUUAUACGAACAUUGUGAUUACUGUAAUCAAUUAGCUUUAACAUGCUUUUGUCUCGUAGUGGUUUUAUGCAUGUCUCGAAUGUGCAAGAUGCAUAAAUUAUAUUUAGCACAUGUAUAUAGUAAUAACACUAGUAAAAAAAACUCAAAUAGCAACGAAGUUGCUACGGUACAAUCGUAGCUAGCAAUAGAAAAGCUACGGAUUUGCUACGUUUUAGCUACGAAAACAUAAAUGUAGCAAAUCGUAACAAAAUCGUAGCUAAUUUGCUACGAAUGUGCUACGUACAAAAAUCGUAGCUAGUGGUUGCUACGAUUUUGCUACGAAAAAUAACGUAGCAAUUUACUACGUUUCACUAACGUGUCAUUUCGUGUUUAACCUAGCUACGAAUUGUUUCGAUUCUAUCGUAAGUUUAGUUUUAAUUUAUUUUAAAAAAGAAAACGUAGCUACGGUUACCAAAAUCGUAGCAAAUUCGUAGCAACCCACCGAAAGAAACGUUCCAUCAUCCAUCAUCCAUCGUGCGCAAGUGUCGGGAGAAAAAUACAAAACGUAAUAAGCCACGAGACCUUUUCGUAGCAAAGAUCGUGGUUUUUUUCUGAAUGCAACGUCCCCUCGGUCCGACAAUGUGCAGGCAAAAUAAUUCAAGAUAUUUUGAGCAAGCUACGAAAAUUUUUUUUCUAAUCAAAAUAUAAACUUUAUCUAAACCUUUUAUAUAAAACCUAAUUAUUUUCUAAUCAAAAUCUAAACUUUAUCUAAACCUUUUAUAUAAAACCUAAUUAUUUUCUAAUCAAAAUCUAAACCCUAUUUAUAAACGCAAUUAAACCUAUAUUUUUUUAUCAAAACGUAAACCUUACCUAUAAACCCUAUCUAAACCCUAAUUAACCCCUAAAUUUCUAAACCUUCGAUACCCUCCAAAUCCCUCUAAAUUUCUAAACCCAAAAUUAAUUCCCUCUAAAAUUCUAAACCCAAAUUCAAUUCCCUCUAAAAAUUUAAGCCCAAACCCAUUUUCUAUACUUAGACAAAAUAUCCCUAAUUUCCUAAAGACAAACCUUUCUUCUCUCUCUCCCGUGUCUCAACUCUUCGAGCUCUCAUCUCUCUCGAUCUCUCUAAUCCCUCGAUCUCAUCUCUCUCUUGAUCUCUCUAAUCCCUCAAUCUCUCUUAUAGCUCUCUCGUUCUCUCUCAAUCUCUCGUCUUCCAUGCCUAAUUCCUCCGCAAACGCAUCCAACGACCGUCGUCGUUCUCGCCCUCCAGGCUUGAAUCUUGAAGGUAAGGUCUCGAUUUCUCUGUUAAUUGAUUAGGGUUUCAAUUUAGGAUUCUCUUUCGGUUUUGAUUUGGGUUUCAAAUUAGGGUUUAGGUUUGGGAUUCGCUUUCAAUUUGGGUUGCGGUUUCAGUUAGAGUUUGUAUUGCAAUUUCGGGUUUCAAAUUAGGGUUUCGAUUUAGGUUUCAAAUAAGGGUUUCGAUUUGGGUUUAGGUUGGGUUUCAAAUAAGGGUUUCGAUUUGGGAUUCGCUUUCAAUUUGUUCUGCGGUUUAAAUUUGGGUUUCUAUUUGGGUUUUGAAUUGGGUUUCGUUUUGGGGUUUGGUGUUGCUGUUGGUUUCGAGUAGGGUUUUGAUUUAGUGUUUUAUUUUCGGUUACAAGUUAGGCUUUUCAGUUUUUCAAUCUUAACGCUUCUUCUGUUUCUCUUUCUGCAGAUGUAAGAAACGUGAGACCGCAAAUGAGAGCCGCUUCAAUGCCUCCUGGUAGGACUCCUGCUUCAAUGCCUCCUGGUAGGACUCCUGCUUCUUCUCAACCAACAAGACCUCCUGGAGUGGUCGGCUCUUCAACUUCAUCUACGGCUCCUCCUCCUCCUCCUCCUCCAACCUAUGCGACGAGAACAGAAGAGGUGCUGCUACGUGCUCCAACCCGAAUUAAUCAGCCACACCUCCAUCCUGAUAAGAUCAAUGGAGCAUUGUGGUAAGUAAAUGGGUGUUGCUACAAAUCUCGUGUUAUAACAUAGCAAAACGUAGCAACUUGCCACGUUUCUCUUUCGUAGCAAGGUCGUAUCAAUUUGCUACGAUUUUGCUACGAUACAAAAAUGGCUACGAUCGUAUAGCUACGAAAACAGAAACGUGGCUUUUCGUAGCAAAAUCUCCAUAUAGCCACAAAAAUUCCCCUAUAGCCACGAUUAUAUGUCGUUGCUAUUUCAGUUUUUUUUAACUAGUGUAAUCGAUUGCUUGUCUAAAUUAAUAUAUAUAUUUAAGAUAUUAUAUCAAAGAGUUGAUAUAGAUUCGGUUAAAUCGUUUAACCCGUUUUGAUAAAUUUAGUUAUAAUUCUAAUUUGAUUAGAACUAAAUACUAAGAUUAUCUAAUUAAUAAUUUUAAUUAGAUUAAAUUAAUUUAAUUAUUUAUAGUUCAAUUAAAAUACAUAUAAGAUAUGUAUUAGUUAUAUUUAUAUUUUAUAUUAGAUAUAAAAUUUAAAUAUAAAUUAAAAUUGAAUUAAAAUUUGUUCCUCAAUUAAUUUCAAGUAUUUUUGAUGUCUACCCAAUCUUAUCAACUAUCAAGACUCGUUUCAUUGUAAGAUGGACUUGCCAAAGCAAGGUGUGUGCAAUUACAUGAGUGAGGUGGAUGGUAACGGUUACCAUGUGAAACAAAAUUGGUUUACUUGACUAGGCCAUCAAAACAGUUUUGGGCUUAGAGACAUAGGUUGGAUAAGAUAUAGGAUGUCGUCUGACAACCAAGAAUUAUAUUGGAUAUAAUUAGCAAAGUGUUGCUUACCUAAAUAGCUUUAUAUUUGGGCGAUGAACCAAAGCUCACUCGGAUUUUAGUGAAAUAUGGAUCUUGGAUUAUUAUAUUCAUUUGAGGAAAAUGUUUUGAAUAUAAUAUGAGUUUUCUUAAUUGUUGAGAUUUCUCUAAUUCCUGAACAUCAUAUUAAUAUUUGCUAUUCUUCUAUUCCAGCAAUGUUAACUCCUCACAACCCAUUUUAAUUCCAAUAUGCCCUUAAGAAGGACAAAUUGAAUGGAUCAAAUUUCCUCCAAUGGUAUCGAAACCCGAGAAUUGUUCUCGAACAAGAGUUUAAACCCUACUUGGAAGAUCUGAAAAAGAAAAAGACUUUUGAAACAUCGUCUAGGGGUAUUUAUGUUAUAGAAGUAAAUGUUACUACUUUUGGUUCUACUUCAUGGGUAUUGGAUACCGGCUGUGGUGCUCAUAUUUGUACGAAUAUGAAUGGUCUAAGCAACAAUAGAAUUUUGGAGAAAGGUCAAGUGGACCUACGAGUGGGAAAUGGAGCAAGAGUGGCUGCAUUAGCCGUGGGAACAUUUUACUUGUCUUUACCUUCAGGCUUGGUUUUAGAACUUAAGAAUUGCUACUAUGUAGCUGCUAUAAGUAGGAAUAUUAUUUCCAUUCAUUGUUUGGAUUUGGAAGGAAUUCAGUUUUCGAUCAAAAACAAGUGUUAUUCCUUUGAUCGUAAUGAUAUCUUUUAUGGUAGCGGUUCAUUAGAGAAUGGAUUUUAUAUUCUAGACCAAAGCGUGCAUGUCUAUAAUAUCAGUACCAAGACCUUCAAGUCUAACGACACGAAUCAGACUUUUCUUUGGCAUUGUCGUUUGGGCCACAUAAAUGAGAAACGCAUUCAAAAGCUUCAUAGUGAUGGACUUUUGAGCUCAUUUGAUUAUGAAUCAUAUGAAAAAUGUGAAUCUUGUUUAUUGGGUAAAAUGACUAAGGCUCCUUUUACUGGACACAGUGAAAGAGCCAAAGACUUGUUGGAACUUAUACAUACCGAUGUAUGUGGACCAAUGAGUAUACAUGCUAGAGGAAACUAUCAGUACUUCAUUACAUUUACUGACGACUUCAGUAGAUAUGGUUAUGUUUAUCUAAUGAAACAUAAGUCUGAAUCUUUUGAAAACUUCAAAGAAUUUCAGAAUGAAGUACAAAAUCAGCUUGACAAGAAAGUAAAAGCUCUUCGAUCUGAUCGAGGUGGAGAAUAUUUGAGUCAAGCGUUUAAUGAUCAUCUGAGAGAAUGUGGAAUUGUUUCACAACUCACUCCUCCAGGAACACCACAAUGGAAUGUGUGUCCGAAAGGAUAAAUCGAACUUUAUUAGAUAUGGUUCGAUCUAUGAUGAGUCAUGCAGAUCUUCCACCAUCCUUUUGGGGAUAUGCUCUAGAAACGUAUGCAUUUACGAUGAAUAGAUGUCCAUCAAAAUCAGUUGAAAUGACUCCAUAUGAGAUGUGGACUGGAAAUGUUCUAAAUUUGUCUUUUCUGAAAAUUUGGGGUUCGGAUGCUUAUGUCAAACAUAUGUUUACAGAUAAGCUUGGACCAAAAUCUGAUAAAUGCUUUUUUUUUGGUUAUCCCAAAGAAACCAAAGGUUAUUACUUUUACAACUCCACUGAGAACAAAGUGUUUGUUGCUCGUAGUGGCGUUUUUCUUGAGAGAAAGUUUCUUUCUAAGAAGAACAGUGGGAGUAAAGUACAACUCGAAGAAGUUCGAGAGACACAGGAAAAUGUUUCAUCCUCUCACGAAGAUGAUCAAUUAGAUCUACGAAGAGUCGUAGAAUCUACACCAGUGGAACCUGAGGUACGUCCGAAAGGACACGUCACGAACCUGUUAGAUAUGGGGUUUGGGUGACAGAUAAUCAUGAUCUAUUGAUAAUAGAGAGUGAUGAACCUACGUCCUUUGAGGAAGCUAUGAUGGGCCCAGACUCCGAUAAAUGGCGAGAAGCCGCAGAAUCCGAAAUUGACUCUAUGUCAGUAAACAAAGUGUGGACUUUGGUUGAUUUACCUGAUGGUGUUAAAACCAUUGAGUGUAAAUGAAUUUUUAAGAAGAAAACUGACGUGGAUGGUAAUAUACGGAUAUACAAAGUUAGAUUGGUGGCUAAAGGUUACAAACAAAUUCAUGGUAUUGACUAUGAUGAAACCUAUUCACCAGUUGCAAUGCUUAAGUCUAUUCAGAUUCUCCUAGCAAUUGUCGCUCAUUAUGGCUAUGAGAUUUGGCAAAUGGAUGUGAAAACAGCUUUCCUUAAUGGAAAUCUCGAAGAGAAUGUGUACAUGACACAACCUGAAGGUUUAACAGUCCCUGGAAGUACUGGGAAAGUAUGCAAGCUUCAACGUUCCAUUUAUGGUUUGAAGCAAGCAUCUCGGAGCUGGAAUCUUCGUUUUAAUGAGGUUAUCAAAGAGUUUGAUUUCAUUAGAAAUGAAGAAGAACCUUGCGUUUACAAGAAGACUAGUGGGAGCGCAGUUGUUUUCUUAGUGUUGUAUGUAGAUGACAUACUUCUCAUUGGAAAUGACGUUUUUAUGCUUAAUUCUGUAAAGACUUGGCUUGGAGGUUGAUCCUGAAUGAAAGACAUGGGUGAAGCUGCAUAUAUUCUUGGAAUAAGAAUCUAUAGAGAUAGAUUAAAUAAGACUAUUGGAUUAUGUCAUGAUACUUAUAUCGAUAAGGUUUUGCAUAGAUUCAAGAUGCAUGAUUCCAAGAAAGGCUUCUUACCGAUGUCUCAUGGCAUAACUCUCAGCAAGACUCAGUGUCCGUCGACACAUGAUGAGCGAGAGCGCAUGAAUAGAAUCCCAUAUGCUUCUGCUCUAGGAUCUAUCAUGUAUGCCAUGCUCUGUACUCGUCCAGAUGUUGCAUGUGCUUUGAACAUGACGAGUCGAUACCAAUCUGAUCCAGGUGAAAGUCACUGGACAGCAGUUAAGACUAUCCUCAAGUAUUUGAGAAAUACUAAGGAUAAGUUCUUGGUCUAUGGAGGAAAUGAUGAACUUGUUGUGAGUGGUUACAUUGAUGCCAGCUUUCAGACGAACAAAGAUGAUUUCUGAUCACAAUCUGGUUUCAUCUUUUGUCUUAAUGGAGGAGCAGUGAGUUGGAAGAGUUCCAAGCAAAGCACCGUAGCAGACUCAACAACUGAAGCUGAAUACAU